UAGGGGGCGUUUGGAUUGACGAAUUUGUAGAUCCAAAAUAAGUAAGUGCAGUGGUGUUUGAGUUUUCCUGAAGUGUGAUUAUUUUUCUGUUGUUUGUUUUGAUGUAACUCGUACAGUCUGAAAGUUAAAUUCAAUUACUUCUUCUGUUUGUUUUGAUAUAAUUUGGUGCCGAUAAAAUUAGUUUUUUUAGUUCCGUUGUUUGUUUUGAUGUAAAUAAGUAGAUCCUGUUAUCUCCUAAAUAUAGUGAUAAAUUUAUCACUAUAAAUUAUAACCUAUUAUAUAAUUAAAUUUUUUAUUAUUAUUUAAAAGUAAUUCUAAUUUAUUAUAAAUAAGAUAAUUCUAAUCCAUUAUAAAGGAAGUAGAGUUUAGGUUUUACUAUUUAAUAAAUUUUUUAGAGGAGGUUGAGUAUGGUAGAAGUAGAGUUCGGCACCUUAGAGGAGGAAGUCGAGAGUAGGUGAAGUGGAGGUCUAACGUAAUUUGAAUUAUAUUAUAUUUUUGACUUACACCAAAGCAUAUAACGAAAGUGAUGGAACUUGAGUUCUAUCACUCCACUUACACCAAAACAAAAGGACCAUUAGUUGAGGUUUUUUGUUAGGGUGAUACUUUGAACCUCUAAAAAAUAUUAUCCUUAUAAGUCACUGUGGUUUUAACCAUCACAAAAAUAUUUUUGAAGUGACUUCUUUUACCAAAAGGGUACAUCACUUUUUACAUGUGUAAAGAGAAUCAUUAGCUCCAAAGAAACUACCAAAAGGAGAAGUUGAUGAAAUUAUGAACUCUCUUGGUCAAACAUAAACAAUGAGAAUCUCCACAGCACCCCCACUAGUCUUUAACAAUUUGAGAGAGAGAGAGAGAGAGAGAGAGAGAGAGAGAGAGAGAGAGAGAGGGAAAAUUGAUGAAAUUAUGAACUCUUACUUUUGGUCAAUCAUAAACAUUGAGAGAGAGAGAGAGAGAGAGAGAGAGAGAGAGAGAGAGAGAAAGAGAGAGAUUACCCUAACAAUCAUAGGCAAACUAGUCCUUCACAAAAUGAGAGAGAGAGAGAGAGAGAGAGAGAGAGAGAGAGAGAGUACUAUUACACUAAGAAUCAUGGGCCAAGCAUGCCAAUGCAUGCUACUUCAUAAUUCCUCUCCUUUUGGUCACCACUAAACUUUGUUGGAUUGGAUUAUUGGACAAAGUGCAUGGUGCAAUUUUCAUUUGAUCCCCUAUAUAUAAGCCCUUUCAAAUUUGAAUCAUAUGAACCCUCCCCACCUCAAAAGUUCUCAAUUAUCCAACAUUGAGGGCCCUAGCUAGUUGAUCUUUAGGAUGGAACAACAAAUACAUGCUUGAUUUGAGCUUCAAUCAAGGCCAAUAAUAUCGGCAUCGACGGUUUCGAUUUGAUCAUCAUUAAUAGGCCCCAAAAUCUCUCCUUGGAUGCUCCUAGCAAUUUCUUUUUCCUUGUUACAUAUUAUGAUGGGGACCUCAUAUGAGUAAAUAUCAUAGGCCUAAUAGUAUGUAGUAGACAAGGGUUAUGGGCAAGGACACAAGCAUGCCAAAGAUAACCCUGCAAAAAGUACAAUAAGAGAGUCAAAGAGUAGAAAAUAGCUAGAAAUAUUACACAAGAUUAAAAAAAAAAAAAAAGUUGUAGUUGUGUUGUUUGGUUGUAUUAUUUGAACAAGCUCACAAAAUUUGUGAUGGGUCCAUUUUCAUGAAAAGAAACAAAUUAAGUACUGAACACAAUAGCUUUUGGUCCAUCUCAGUUUGUUUCUUUGUUUGCAAGUGUUUUCUUCUUUUUCUUUUUAAGAGCGUUUCUAUAUUAGAAAAUAUAUUUAUAAGAACGCUACAUAAUUAGAGCAAUCUUAGGGCAGUCGAGGUAUGAGUCGUCAGAUAAACGAUCAGCCUUGUUUUAAAUUUCAUCAGGAGUGUUGUUUGAAAACUCAUACUCUCGUUCUAUUAUAGGGAUUUGUCCCGCAGUUUCUGCAAAGUAAUCGAUUUCUCUAAAAGCCGAUAUUACAAAAUAAUAAAUUCAAUAUUUAUACUCUCUUUCUAUCCGGGUGUCUGUUUGUAUAAUUUCAUUUAUCCGAGUAUGCUUGUGUCGAACGAUUAUAAAGUAAAUUGUGAGAUUUAUACAUAUUAAGCUUCCAAUUUAUGAUGAUAUAUAUGCAGGAAAUCACUCUGUAGUUUACAGUAAAAUUUUUUUUAAAAAAAAAAGAUAAAGAAAAAACAAUCUUAUUCUUAAUGAAAUCAUAUAUACCCAGCGCUAAGAAUAUCAGGAUGUAGCCCAUACUCUCUUGCAAACACAAAUGGAACAAUCCCUUGUGGAAGAGCAGCCUACAAAAAUUAAUUUCAACAAUAAAUGCAUGUCACCUUUAAUUUCAUUUUCCAAACUAAAAAACUUAAUUAUAAGAAAAUAAACUCAAUCAAAAACAUAUAACUAACCUGGACAAUUGCAGUGUGGAGUUUAACCCCUUUUAAUCCCACAGCUAAUGAUGCAGCACACAUUAUUAUCGGCCCGCAAAUAAACCGAAUAAACAUGCUUAUUAUCGCCAUUUUUGCGCCGCACGCAAUGAUCCUUUGUUGAAGAGCCAUGAAUAAACCUGGAUGUAGAUCAAAAUGGUUUUAGUGUAUCUAAUCAAGUUUUUUUUUUCUUUUUUUUAACAUAUGAUAUUAGGGUAUUUUGAAAUAGUAAACAUAAUUAAUGUGCACAAUAUGUAUACAUGCACUUAAUUACCUAAACUAAACAUGGCCAUUCCAAGUCCUGCAUCUGAGAUGAUAGUAAUUGAGUUUUUGAUUAUAUCUGGCAUGGUUAACUCCCACCUACAAAAUUUGGAACAAGUUCAUUAUUUAGCAACUAACAAAAUAUAUAGCUUUUAUUUUUAAUAUUACAUGAAUCAAAAGAUUAUAGAAAUAAAUAUGACGCAUGUAUAUAACUAUUGGAGGUACGAGUGAAAACUUAAUCUCUUAGAGAACGGUCUUUCAAUAAUCUAUAUUCGAAACUUUGCUUCUGAAUUUGAGACUUUUUGAUUGAUUAGACGUGUUGAUUAAUAUAUAUCAUGCGAACUAACCUGAAUGAGAUUAGGGACCAAAGUAGGCCAAGUAUGCUCGAAUACGUAUUAGGGUUUCGAGAGAGUUUGCGUCCGACUACGACGAGUAUGAGCCUUAACAUGACAAGCGGAUGCGGCAUCGCCUGAUCAUUCGCUUCUUCGUCCAUCUCAUACGCAUCUACGAACUUCGUAGUGCUUCUGAAGCUGAGCUCUUUCUCCUCUAUAAAACGAAAUCAAAGAAAACUAAUUGAUUUGUAUUGAAAAGCAAAAUAUGUACCUUGUGAUGCAGUAAUAUAUAUAGAACUUUAGUUUCUGUUUCGAUCAAAUUAUUCGUAACAUAAAAAUUGAAUUACCUACAUAGAUGAUGUGAUAUUAAUGCUAUAAUAGAUCUUCUUCAAUCACAUCAUCUUUAAAAAAUGACAUGAUAAUUUAUCCUGGCGCUUCAACAAAAUUUGACAUGAUAAUUUAAUUCAAACAAAAAGUAAACCUUAACCAAAAAAAACGAAAAAAAAAACAAAAACAAAAACAAAAAUUUCUUAGAGACCAAAAAACUAGCAAAUGGGCAAAUCCGACCAAGGAACACUAGAAAACAAAACAAAAACUGUGAAACGAGUUCUUUUCAUUUUAGCUCCAUCAAUUACUACAAAUCCCACAACAAUUAAAUAAAAUAAAACAAGGGAAACAAACAAAAUAAAACAUGGGUACAACGUACCAAUGGUCUCUGUAGUUGUACUAUUCUAAUAUUAUAAAUUGGUACUAUUUUAGCUCGUAAACUUUAUUAUAAUAUUAUAUUCUAGUCCCUAGCUAAUACUAAGGAAAAAAAAUUAAAUUUUUAGUGUCAUUUCUUUAAGAAAAAUUAAUUUUGCAUGAGAUUAGUGACAAAAAUAUGAUAACAUGUAAAAACUUAAAAAUAAAAUUAUUUUUUUCGCAAUAUAAAAAUAGUACAAAUACUAUUCAUAUCUGUACUUUAAUGUUAAGAAAUUAUUUUAGCAAACUAUUUGUUAAAUAUAAUGCACGAAUCUUAAAAUAGUGAUGAGCGUACCACUCACUUCUCUGCCGCGCACUUUCUCAGCACCACCACUAGCCGGCGCUGCUGGCGAUCUUACCUCCACGUCGGUGAAGCUCGACGCCCGCGGCGUCGGCUGCAGUGAGUAUGCGUCGGACGAUGACGACGCGCACGACGCCCGCGCGAAGAUCGUGAUCUCCCCCAAUGUGAACGUGUGCCGGUUAGGUGUGCUCGACGAGUAUAUCUCGGCGCCCGACAUGCUCGACAUGCGCGGCGUCGGCGUCGAUACGGCCGACGAGCCCGGGGCCGAGGAGGCGGCCGACCGGCGGAUCCGAAUCCGGACCAUGCCGUCUGCGUCGGCCUCCGACGUCUCGGCGUAGAGAGGGUCACGCCCGUCGAGGGAGAUGACGUCGCCGUCGACGUCGAUUUUCGCGAUGGCCGACGCGGCGGCGCCCGGGAACCGCUCCCGGAUCAGCAGCGCCGCCGCACGGUACUCAAAGAGAAAGAGGAGUAGAGUGUACCUAAAAUUAAAUAAUAAUAAUAAUAAUAAUAAUAAUAAUAAUAAUUCAGUAUUUUAAAAUUUACAGACUAAAUUUCGACGGUAGAAAAAGAUUGUGUCUAAAAAUAUAUAUAUAAAAAUACUGUUUAAUUUCUAAUUAAUAUUUCACCUUAACCUUUAAUUUUAAAUUUAUAAUAUAAAAAAUACUAAGUUUUAUUCUAAAAAAUACAAAGUUUCAACAGAUACAAUAUAAUACAAUAUCUGCAUUAUUAAUACGAAUCUCGUAAUUAAUCGUUGACGCUAAAUGUGGAAGAGAUAAACACGUGUAAUGCUUACGGAUCUCAAUUGUGACUCGACCUAUUAUACAUAGUAUUUUUACUUAAAAGAAGCAUUACAAAAAUUUAUACUAGAAGAGAUGGUUAUAUACCAAACAAUGCACUGGAGAACGACGAGCUGCACCAUGAGAGGCUGGGUGAAGUCCCCAUACAUGGCUCUGAGGAGGGGGAUCCCCAUCACCAGCGUAUUCGGCAGCGUCGCGACGGAGAACACGGUGAUGGGCCAGUCGAGCCGCUGCGCCCCGCGGCGCUGGCGGGGGGAGAAGAAGGCGGACGCCAACGAGACGGCGGUGACGAGAGCGAGCGCGAGGAGCUUGGCGAGGGUGUCGGCGAGGAGGAAGCGCAGGUCCAUGCGGUAGGGGUCGUUGUGGGCGAUGAAGUGGAAGGAGAGGACGGGGACGGCGAACGCCGCGACGAAGCGGUUGAUGCCCGAGCACUGCACCGGGGUGAAGGUGCGCCACCACCGCACCGCGGCGUAGGCGAGGAGCAUGGCCGUGUACAGCGGCGCCGUGGCGCACAGCACCGUGUACAAGUCCCCUAGAGUGAUCAUGUUCUCGUGUGCUGUACACGUAAUAGUGUGUGUUAAGGGCCGAGCGGGUUGUAUAUAUAGGGAAUAUAUAUAAUAUAUAGUGUAGAGCUACUAUACUAUUGAAAGUAUAGAUAAUAUGAUACUUUCAACUUUUUAACUAUUGGAUCAAAAAUUAUGCAGUUAAAUGAUUACGGUACCCCCAGGGUUGAGUAGUAACCCUAGGGUUGAGUGGUCCUCACAGGUUAAUUGUAUUAAUCCAAAUAUUAGAAAUGAUUAAAGGGGUUGAUCUAAAGGCCAAAAAAUCGGAAGUACCAGAUCCUCUAUGCUUCCGAUAGCAUAGUAGCUAUACUCUAAUAUAUAUAUAUAUAUAUAUAUAUAUAUAUAUAUAUAUAUAUAUAUAUAAAUAAAAUUAGGCUGGAAUACUAUUAAUAGUAAAACGCUCUUUUUGCUAUCAAGUUUUUAACCCUUGGAUGAAAAAUUGUAGAGUCAGGAUGAUAUUAGUUGGUUAGAGUUGAGUGGUCCCCUAGGGUUGAGUGGUCCUCACUGGGUUAUAAUAUUUAAUCCAAUGGAUAGAAAUAAUAAAAAGAGUUGAUCCAAAGGCUAAAAAACUGGUAGCAAUAUCUGGAAAUUUUGCUACUAAUAGUAGCCCAGUCCAACUAUAUAUAUAUAUAUAUAUAUAUAUUAUAUAAUAGUCCGGCUAUGGUGCUUGUAAAAGUAUCAAGCACUUGGUGCUUGUAAAUUUUUACCGUUAGAUCUCUGCCUUUGAUUAUUUUUACCCGUUAGAUUAUACUAUUCAACCAACCACCUACUCAACCCUAGGGGCCACAUCAUCCUAACCGCACAUCCUUUAAUUCAAGGGCUAAAAUUUACAAUACGAAUGACUUGAUACUUUUAAAAGCAUAGGAACUCAAUUAUAUAUUAUAUAUAUAUAUAAUAUAUAUAUAUAAGAGAGAGAGAGAGAAGAGAGAGAGAGAAGAGAGAGACUAGGCUACUAUACUAUCGGUAGACGGAGCGUUCCGUGCUACCAAGUUGUCUUCGAUGAUGCAGCUUCCAAAUCGACGAUCAGCUCCGUUAGACUUAUCUACACUAUUAAAAGUAUUUAGAAACUAAAUUUCAUAAUUUUUCGAUACCAUUUACCUAUCAAACAAGUAGUUCUACAAUUGAACGGCUAAAAUAAAAAUCUCAUAAAAAUGAUGAUAAAAGAUUAAAUUCAAGAUCAGAUAUACUGAUCUACUCUAAAUAGUUAAAAGAAUUUUUAAUAAAAUUUUCAUCGAUUUGGAUUGUUUUACACCGUUAAACUCACAAACACCACAUCGGCCAUUAAAAUUGUCAAUUUUGAAAUCUUUUGAUCACUAGUUAAAUAAAGUCGAAAAAAUCUGAAAUUUAGUUUUCAAAUACUUUCAAUAGUGUAGAUCAAGUCUAACGGAGCCGAUCGUCGAUUUGGAAGCCGCAUCAUCGAAAACAACUUGGUAGCACGGAGCGUUCCGUGCUACCGAUAGUAUAGUAGCCGGACUCUAUAUAUAUAUAUAUAUAUAUAUAUAUAUAUAUAUCUGAGUAGGCUACUAAAUUUUUAUGAAUAUAGAACCCUUCGUAUUCGUAAGUUAUUUUUAAUGAUGAAGUUUUCGAAUCGAUAAUUUACACCGUCAAAUAAGAUCUAGAGUAUUUAAAACUUCUAGACAAUAAAUUUUGUAAAUUUUCGAAUUUAUAAUAGUUUCCAUUAAGCAGGCAUAAAAUGAAUGGUUAAAAUCGAACGAUGCCUUAAAAUGGAUGACCGGAUACUUUAAUUUAUGAUCGGAGUUAUUAAUCUUUAUCUAGAUAGUGAAUAGAAUUUUCUAUCAAAAAUUCAACCGAUUUUGAUUUUUUUACACCGUUAAACUAGCAAAUUAAUAUUCUAUACCGAUCGUUAAAAAUGAUCAAUUUUAAGAUCUUUUGAUCGUAAGGUAAAUGAUAUCAAAAAAAUUAUGAAAUUUAAUUUCUACAAGUUUUAAAUGCUCUAGAUAAUAUUUAAUAGUAUGGAUCAUCGAUUUGGAAGCUCUCUAUCACCGAAAAUAACUUAUGAAUUCGAAAGUGAUUGUACUCAUAAAAGUAUAAUAGCCGGACUUUAUAUAUCUACUUGAACAAGGAGGAGUUCAAUGCAAAGAGUUUAAGAUUUGGACAAAAAAUGAUUCAUACGGUUCAUCAAAUUGUCUUAACGAGAUCUCGUUGAGAAGCUCUUAAAUAAAAUUCUAAAAAUGUACUUUAGACAUAGAAAUUAUUGUGUGGACCGAGUGCACCGCGCCGCCCACUAGAAAAAAAUUAAUUUUGUGACAGAUAUUCCACAUAUGCAAAUUAAUAAUAACUUCCAACUGGACAUUUCAAUAUUCCACAUAUACAAAAAAUUUUAUGUACUUCACCGAGAUUUUUUGAAUAUUCACUUUAGUUUCUUUUAAUUUUAACUUUGUCACUGAUUUAACGAAAAAAAUUAAUAGAAUUGAUAAUAAAAAGAUAAAAAUAAAACCGCAGGAUACUAAAUUAGUACACUUUAAAUCAUAUGGUACUAAAAUGAGAAAGUAUAAAAUCACAUGGAUGGUAUUUGAAGUUUUUCUAAAAAAAUAAAAAAUCCAAACUGGUCUCUUUCAACCUAAUGUAAAAUUUUCAUACCAAAUAAGUUAUUGAUUUUUUAUAAUUUAUUGCUGCAUACAUUUUUUUGAAUUUUUCCAAACAUAAAAGUGAAUGUGUUCGAAGAACGCAAUUGGUGUAUUUGUUUCGCUGAAAUCGAAGAGGGGUAAAAAAAUUUUCAGUCGUAAAUAUCCACUUUCAUUAUUUGGUGUACUGUAACUUUAUCUUCGGUCGAAACUCAAACUCUUGAAAAUACUGUAAUCUACUUAGGCCCAUCCAAAGCCUAAGUUAAUUACACAAAUAAUAAUAAUAAUAAUAAUAAUAUAUAAUAUAUUAACUUAUCUCUUAUAUCUACAUAUUUUAUGUCAUUCACUGUCGGCAAAAACAAAUAGCAAAACUGGAGCAACUUCAGUUACACAGAUAUGCAAACAAAUUAACAACAGAAAAAAAAAAAAAAAUCUUUAUCUAAACUCUCAUUUAGCUGAAAAUUUGUUUUAAUAUGAACUUCAAUAUUCUCUAUGAAACAAAUAGGUCCAAUAUUUAUAUAAAAAUAUAGAAACAUCAUUCUAGAUCUUUUAUCUUAAGUUAUUAGAGAAAAUGACUAUUUUUUAUUAUUUAAUAUAAUAUCGAAAUAAGAGAUUCUCAAUUUGAAUUUCAUGACUGUUUUGCAUUAUUUACCAAAGAAACAAAGUACUCUACCCAAGGAGAGAGCCUACUAUGUCACACUUAUAUCACAUCAUUAAGUAACAAGCCAAUUAAAUUUCUAUAUUUGAAAGAAAAAAGUAUAAUAAAAUUAAUUUUCUAUUAACUAUGAUGGGACAUAUAAAUCCAAAGAAAAUAAUUAAAAAAACUUCAAAUAGCACCCCUGUGGUUUCGCAGUUUUUUAUUUUAGUACCAUAUGAUUUAAAGUAUAUUAAUUUAGCAUCUUGUGGUUUUAUUUUUUUCUCUUUUUAUUAUUUUCUUUAUUAAUUUUUUUUAUUAAAUCAGUAACAAAGUUAAAAUUAAAAGUUACUGAAGUGAAUAUUUGAUAAACAUAGGUGGUGGGUAUCUGAAGUUUUUUGUAUAUAAUUUAACGAAAUAUUAACGGACGAACUGACGAAAAGAGAAAAAUAAAAUCACAGAAUACUAAAUUGAUAUAGUUUAAACCAUAAGAUAUUAAAGUGAAAAAAAUGUAAAACUAUAUGAAUAGCAUUUGAAGUUUAUUCAAAAUAAUUUUAUUAUUUGGAAUCGCCACGUCAGCAAUAUUUUCGUGCAUCUUAGAUUUUUUUUCCCAUUAGCUGUGACACACAAGCCUGUUACACGGAGGAACAGCGAAAGGAACAGAUCGUACGGCUGCGAUGCAACCAUCCCCGACACGAAAACCAGGAGGAGUGACGUCACCUUCGCCCGUGUCGGACGAAUCGUGUCGGUCGCGCGACAGGAGGGGCAUCCCGGCCGUCCGAUCGCGAUCGGGCGGCCGAUACGAGGUGGGCCCGGGGCACAAUCCCCGAGGAGGGAAGCGGACGAACCGGAAUCCAGCGGAAGCCCUGUCGGCCGGCCGGGUGGGGGUUGGCAGUCGGCACUCGCCAGUGACAGUGGCAGUGGCAGUGGCAGUUCUGUAGAUUCCUGAAAAAGUGGAACGCAUUUACUCCCCUAUUCUUUUUAGGGAAAAUUUUGUCGAUGCCCUUCUAAAACCAUCUAAUUUCAUAAAUGCCCUUUUACAAAUUGAAAUAUCAUGUAUACCUCCUCAAAUUUAAAAAACUUUCAAAAAUAGUCCUGCCAUCAAGUCUCCAUCAAUAUUAAAGUUAAUAAUAUUUAUAUUCCAACUUUACUCCUCUUAAUUAUUCAUUAGUCAAUUAAUAAUUCUAUUUCAUAAAUACCUUAUAUUAUAUUUCAAAAUUAAUUAAAUUCUAUCGAAACUAAAAAUUUAGUAAAAUUCAAUUGAUUUUAGUUUAAAAAAUUAUUGAUUUUAAUUAAAUAAAUAUUUCUAUUUGGAAUAAAUUGUAGUUAAAUUAAAUUUCAUUUUGCUUUUAUUGUCGGAAUAAGAAGAUAAUUUAUUUUAGUUAUACCUACUUUUUUUACUGCAUCGAUUGUAAAGUAAUAAAUUUUUUUAUUUGACUACUUAAUAUAGAGAAAAUUCGUCACUAUAAAUACAUUACAACUAAGAGCAUUAAUAUGCAAUCCGACCUCAAAUAAAAAAAUUAGUUAUAUUAUAAAAGAACAAACUAAAUUCUUGUAAUCAAUGGACUUUACAUGAACCAAUAAUAAUUUUAAAUAAUAAAUUAAAAAAAAAUUAGAUAAUGAAAAUUUUCACAAAUUAAGUAGUCAAAUCCAUUAAAUUUAAUACCAUUGACUAAUUUUCAUUUAAUAGUUAAUUAUUAUUAGCUAAUUAACCUAUUAAUUGAAUUUCUUUAUUAAUUGAUUACAAUAGUUGAAAACUGAAUGGAUAAAGAAAAUUUUAAAAAAUGGACCACGUACAUUUAUUUGCCCCUCAAUAGUUUGGGGGCAAAAUGGACAAUUUUAUUCUUAAACUUCAUUAUAUCAUGGUAUAAAUAAAAUUAAAAUGAGUUGAGGGUAUUUUUGAAACAAAGUAAAUAUUUGUAGGGAUAAUUUUGAUAUUUCAAAUUAUGUAAGGGCAUCUAUGAUAAUUUUGAACUUUUGAGGGGUACAAAUGAAAUUGCCCCUUUUUUUAAUUUAUUUAUCCUUUUUUAAAAAAAUAAAUUUUCUUUAUGAAUUGAAGGGAUAAUAUGAUAUUAUGAUUUAUGUUUUUUUUUUUUCUUUUGCAUUUAACCAUCUCGAAAAAAAAAAAUUCUAAUAAAUUUAUAUUUAUAUAAAGAAUCAUUUUCUUACCACGCAAGCGCUUAGGUAGUAUUAUUAAGUUGGACACGCUAAUUUAAUCAUCGUGUUUAAACACGGGAAUUGAUCAUCGUCUAACUUUUUGUAUUUUUUUUCGUUCCUAAAUAAAAAAAGAGAGAUCAGGAUAUGGAUAUGAAUAUAAUAAUUCUAUCACCGUAUUUAAACACGGUGACCGUAUUUAAACACGAUGAUUUAUUUACCGUAUUCAACUUAAAAAUUCAAACGUGACGCUUGCAUGGCAAGAAGAGAGCCAUAUGUGUAAAUAUAAAUUUGUUAGAAUCAUUUGUAAAAUUUUUGUUAAUAAAGGCUAAAUGUAAAAAAAAAAAGCCCUAUUAUCUAAUAUGCGCUUUCAAAUUCUAAAAUAUCUUAUUUAUUUUUUAAAAAAUUAAAAUAUUUUUGUUAAUUUUAAAUAAUUUGUUCUAUGGUUCAUUAAUGGAAUUGGAGUUUAGCAGAGUACUUUGAUAAUUUUAUAAUUAAUAUGAAAAUUUUAAAUAGUAAUAAAGGGUAAACAAGAAAAAGCCUCUAUGCAUAUAUAUUUUAUUCAGAAUAUGAUAAUUUACUUUUUAUUUGAAUGCAUGAAUAUCUUAUUCCGUAUAUUUUUGUGAUUGAUUAUAUUUAUCAUAUGAGAAGUGUGAUCAAAUAUUUAGAAUUAAAAAUUAUAUUCAAUUUUCAAAUUAUUAUUUUGAAUAAAAAAAUUACCUCAUAAGUGAAAUAUGUUAUAUCGCCAAAUUGCGGAUAUCAAGAUCCUAUCAAUAAGCAAAAAAAAAAAAAAAAAAAAAUCUCUCUUUGCAAUCACACAACAAAAAAUCCAAACUGAGCCAUUAAACCAUAUUCAAAUAUCAAAAUAUAACAACAUAUCACCGACUGUCCGUAGAGCAAGUGGCAAAGCUUGGUGGUUUGUACCGAGACCUAAGUUCGAAUCCUAGUUGAUUACAUUUCUAGCUAAGUUUAUUCAAAUAAAAUAAAGAAACAGAUAGCGUGCUACUACUCAAAAAUAUAUAUAUAUAUAUUUACAAACAUAUCUAAUCAUAUUCUAUUCUAAAAAUUUUCUAUUGUGCUUAUAAUUAAAAGUUAGAAGGUUAUUAAUUGUUUAAAUUAAAAUAACAUAUUCAACUUUCAAAUUAUUUUUUAAAAAAUAAAUUAUUUCAUAAACGAAAUAUGUUAUUCUCUCAAAUUCUAAAAAAUAUAUAUAUAUAUAUAUAUAGUAGGGCUACUAUGCAAUUAGGAGCACAGCAGCCCUUGUGCUCCUAACUUUCUAACCACCAUCAAGUUUGUUGGGUGGUUAGAAUGAGAGAGGAGGGAAAUAUUGAAGAGAUUUUUCUAGUACUUGUCACAUUUGCUAGACAAAAAUUAUGUGGGCAUUUGUUCCCAAACAACUUGUUUGCUAAACAAAAAUUGUGUACAGACUCUCAUCACGACUGCUCCUUUCUCUCUCCCUCUCUCUAAAAAUUCGGAGCCCACAAUUUUUUUUUCUUUUUUUUUUUUUUCAUUUCCGAGGAUUGUGAUGGGCGCCGGCAUUGUCCCCAAAUAAAUUGUUUGGAGACAUUUUUGAAACACUUUUAUAUAAGUGUCUUAUUUAUACCAAAUUGUUUUAAAAAAUCUAUUAAGACCUAAAUAUAAAGUCCAAUCCAAUCAAGAACAAAAAGUUCCUACCCAGCCCACUGGGCCCGAUUACAAAUAAAAAAACAAAGUAAAAAGAAAAAUUGAUCAUCUUCUUUCCUUUUCCUCCUUUGCCGAUGCAGUUGGCGAAAUAGGGUUUCGGCGGCUGGAGUUCGGCCGCGAGGAUCUCGCAGGGACCGUAGGGGGCUACAAUCGCCACGUAUCCCUCCGCCACAAGUAGUUGGAGUAGUAAGUGCCAAAUAUUAAGGCAGCCUUACCUAUAGCGACUCCACAUAUAGCAAUAUUUUUAAAAGGUGUCGAUAAUUUAGUCUGCAACACUUUUUUUUUUAUCUGUACUGAUAUUUAAUAGUAUCGCUAUACAUUGUCUUUGUUGUAGCGAAUGCUUGAUAAUUUACUUUAUACUUGAAUUAUUUGUCUUUCAAAUGAUUUAAAAAUAUGUGCAACAUAUAAGUAAAUAUAUGAGUCUUAUUAUUUAAAAUUCAAGUCAGAUCAGCAAUCUGCUUUUCAUAAAAGUAGUAUUUUAAAUAUUUUUUGAACUUCAAUAGUUUUUAGGUAAAAUGUUGAAACUUUUUUCACAAAUAUUUACUGUUUUUUUUUAGGAAAAACUUCAAAUACCCCCAUUUUGGUUUCACUUUUUCUCAUUUUAGUAUCCUGUGGUUUAAAGUGUAUCACGUUAGUACCCUGUGGUUUUGCACUUUUUCACUUUAGUACCCUGUGGUUUAAAGUGUAUUAACUUAGUACUAUGUGGUUUCGCACUUUCUCAUUUUAGUACCCUGUGGUUUUUAAACCACAUGGUACUAACUUAAUAUAAAAAUAAAAUCAUAUGGUACUAACUUGAUACAAAAAUAAAACUACAAAGUACUAACUUGAUACACUUUAAACCACAGAAUACUAAAGUGAGAAGUGCGAAACUACAGGGAACUAACUUGAUACACUUUAAACCACAGUAUACUAACUUGAUAUACUUUAAACUAUAGGGCACUAAAAUAAAAAAGUACGAAACCACGGGAUUUUUUUAAAGUUUUUUUUUUUUUUUACUUCUAUCUCCCGGCCUUUCAAAAUAUAUAUUUAGUUUUCUUAAAAUUUCAAAAAUAUUUUCAGAUUACGAUAUUAAUGAAAAGAAUAAAAUAACCAAAAUACUUUUAUUUGUUCUAUUAUUUUAAAAAUAUUUUAGAUAUAUUCAAUUAUAAAUUAUUAAAAGUAGAUGUAAUAUAAAAGUGGAGGUUAAGUAUCUCAAUUUGAAAUUUUAAUAAAAGAAUAAAAUAUAGAUUUUCGAUACUCAUAAAAAAUAAUAUUAAUAUUAUUAGAAAUAAAUAAAUUAAUAAUAUUCGAUGGGAAAUGACGAGGAGGGGCCCACGGGCGCUGCACCGCGCGUGCAUCUCGCUUUCGCACGUUAUUCCCCGACAACGCCUGCGAUGAUCAGAGCCGUCCGAUAGGGACUGUUACCGCCCCUGAUCAACCCACCCUCGUGAACCGAAUCCGCGUGCACCGAUGCACCGCGCUAUUAUUUUUGGGGCCUCCGUGUCCCAUCGCUGUCCCCCGCAGGAUCUAUAUAUAUAGCAGUUACAUCAUAGGAGAGAGAAAGUACAAUAAAGAUUUAAAAUUUUAAUUUUUGAGAUUGAAAAUUUAAAAAUAAAUAUUAUAAAUUAUAAAAUUAUAAAAUUUUAAAUUUGAAAUUUUAAAUUUAAAUAUGCAAAAUUUAAAAUUUUAUAAUAUAAAAUUUUAAAAUUUGAUAUAUAUGGGGAGAGAGGAGAGGGAAUGGUAGUUUAUGGUGCACUGAAAAUAGUAAGAGGACACGUGGCAAGACAGUAACAUUAGUGCAUGGACUUUAGUAUAUAGUAAUAGAUAAUAGAUUAUCUGAGUAGGGUUACUAUACUCUUAUAAGUAUAGAAUCCUUCGUACUCAUAACUUGUUUUCGAUGAUAGAGCUUCCGAAUUGACGAUCCACAUCGUAAUUUUGCGAAAUCAUAAUAAAGUCUAUCAAGCAGGUAUAAAAUGAAUGGUCAAAAUCAAACGACUUCUUAAAAAUGAAUGAUUAGAUCCUUCAAUGUAAGAUUGGAGUUAUUGAUCUUUAUCUAGAUAGUGAAUAAAAUUUUAUAUCAAAAAUUCAACCUAUAUAUUCCAAUUCUUUUACACUGUUAAACUAGCAAGUAUUCUAUACCGACUAUUAAAAAUUAUCAAUUUUAUGAUAUUUUGAUCGUAAGGUAAAUGAUGUCGAAAAAUUAUAAAAUUUUAUUUCUAGAAAUUUUAAAUGUUCUAGACAAUGUUUAACGAUAUAAAUUGUCGAUUCGGAAGCUCUAUCAUCGAAAACGACUUAUGAGUACAAGGGCGAUCGUACUUAUUAGAGUAUAGUAGCCGGACUCUAUUUAUAUUCAGUUUAUUAUAUAUUUUCUAAAAAAUAAUAAAUUUUUUUUAAAAAAGGUUAUGACGUGAUAGGUGAAUCUAAAGAUAUUAUGAGAACACCACAUCAGUAAUGCGACUGUUGUAUUCUAGAUUUUUUUUUUCUUUAUUGGUCCAGUUAUUUACGGCACGUCCAAUCGGACAGCUCAAAUCUUCUUAGAAGUAUCACGUUGCCACGUGUCGGACUCCUGUGUGUCCUCUGCGACGCUGCAUGGCCGGUUUAGUGGUUGUUAUCUGAAAUUUUAUGAAACAAAUAGUAAAAAAUCAGUUUAGUGGUUAUUUUUUGAAGUUUUAUGUAAGAAAUAGUAAAAAAUUAGGAUAAAUAUACAUUAUAUGUUUGUUUUAGUAAAAGAUAUAAUGUUGUACUUAAUUAAUUAAGAAAAUAUUUUUUGCAAUUUUAGCGGAAAAUAAAAGAGCAUUUAUCCAUAUGUUUUUUCCUUUUUUUUUCAUCAAAUAGCAUAAGACGGCCAAACAACUAAUAAAUUAUUAUCAAAUUGGGUAUUUAUAAUAAUUUUUUUUAAAAUUAGAGAAAUAUUUUUUGAUAUUGGCACUUUUAGAAAUNNNNNNNNNNNNNNNNNAUAUAAAAUUAAAGAUUGCAGGAAGGGUACGCAUAAAAUUAACCCAAGUGAGUAGGAAUUACACAAAAAGGUUGUGGAAAAAAAUAAAAAAAGAAAAAAAAAAGAAAAAGGUACUGAUCCUAAAUAAAUCACGAGCUGAGUUGAGUAUUACAAUUCUAAAUUACGCAGGACCAACCAAAAAAAUAAAAAUUCGUCACGGCGUAAAAUUUAUAGGGCCUAUAAAUUUUGAAACAUUCGACCACGGGCCUAAUAUUAUUUGUUUAAAAAUUGGAUCGGGCCGAAGGGGUCGGGCUCGAAAGCUUCGAUGUAUGGCUCACCUUGUUGGGCUCGAUCGAAAGCUUCCGAUUCUAAUUCGGGCCACAAUUGGGUCCAAUCUUGGGCCAAUGUGGCUAAAUUUGGAGCCAUUCAUGUUUCAGUGCUAAAAGAGAACCCUAACUAGUUCAAAAUAGUAAUAUAUAGCUCUUAUCGAAUCGCAUCGAAUUGAAUUCUAUUCGGAUUUGAUUCCAAAGCUGAGUAUAAAUGCACUACAAAUAGGAAAUUGGCUCGAGUCUGACUCGACCUAACUGCUGUAGUUCUAUUUCUUUGUCUAGCGUGAACGAAAAGCUGUUUAAGAUGUUUUAUAUGCUGCUUCGAAAAAGUGGCUUAUAACCAACAGAAGCACUACAUUCUGCAACAGGACCAAAUAGUCGAGAAUCCGAGCCGAGUCCCCGAACUGUGGUCUCAAUUUUGGGUCCAAUUUGAACCAUAUCAUUUAAGUUAGUUACAACUCAAAGGUGCUAGCUAAUGGGCACUGUCCAUUAGCAACAGAACCAACAUAAACACUACAUUCUGCAACAGGACCAAACAAUCGAGAAUCCAAAUCGAGUCCCCAAACUGUGGUCUCAAUUUUGCGUCCAAUUGUAAGUUAGUUACGAUUCAAAGGUGCCAGCAAGUGGACACUGUCCACACUCUCCCUAGUGCCACAAAACGACAAAAAAUGUACCUAUAAUUGGAUUGGAUUGGAUUGGAUUGGAUUGGCCCGGUCACGUGAAACCACCCGACAACGAGUCCAACCACUAGCGAGACAAACCCUUUCCAGUACGGUCCAAACCCUACGGAACAGCGUGAUCUGCUGAUCUCACCUAAGGCAGUUGACUAAAAAUUUAAUAAUUAGUAUUCAAAAUCUCAAAUUCAAAAUUUAGUUAUUUUAUAUUUCUAACUAGAUGUAAUUUAAACUCUCUCUUAUUCCCGUAGCUAAAAUAUAAGAUUGUCCUCCUAACUUUUUCUUAUUUUUUGGUGGAGAAGUAUUUAGUUACUGUCGUAUUAUUAGCACUUAUCAUUAAUUUUAAAAGUUCGAGCUGUUAGAAAUACGCAACUAAUUUACUUAAAGCAUACAGAUACAGUGCCAACAGGUCUUGAUUGUGACUCGGCCCAACCAGCCUCACUCCACUUCGAACAUAACUCGGCCUACCCAGUCUCACGCCACAGGGCAGAAUACUGGCCCAUUUAAGCUCGAACACCUGUACAUAUUUGCAGCAUGCGAGAAUAGUACCUGUGACCUUUGGUCUGAUACCACUUGUCGAAUUGUUGGCGCUUACCAUUAAUCCCAGAAGCUCGAUCUAAUAAAAAUACGCAACCAAUUCACUUAAAGCGUACAGAUACAGCGCCAACGGGCCUCAAUUGUGACUCGGCCCAACCAAUCUCAUGCCACUUCGAUCAUGACUCGACCCACCCUGCCCCACGCCAUUUCGAACACGACUCGACCAAAUAUGAUCUUCCGCUACAAGACAGGAUGCUGACCCAUUUAAGUCAACAGUUACGUGCUUCUGUUAUUGUGAGUAUUUUAUAGCAUUAAAGAAAAAAGAAAGAAAACGUUGACAGAGGAAUUGAUCGACCAUUAAGGCAAGUAAAAAAGGACCAAACGGUUGGUACAUGAGGUCUUAAAUUUGAAGCCUAAAAAUUGCUUCGCAUUUUCAGUUAAGCCAAUUUUAUUUCUAACAAAAAUAUAAACAAAAUAGAUAGCAUGGUUCCUUUCUCUCUAUGCAAUAAAAGAAAAAAAAAACAAAUAUUUGGCAAAAUUUAAACUUCUGCCCUAGAAGGUAUCAUCAAUGUUAGUUUUGCUGUCGAAAACAUUGAAAAAUCUGCUAGAUAGCCAUAGACUUAAAUUCUCAAAAAAUUCAAAUUAGCGUUUGGUUAAGUCACUAAGGCUUAGGCUUAGUUUGGUAUUGAGGUCUAUCUAACGCCAUUAGAUAAAAUAGAGUUGAGCAAAAAGCAUAUAGGGAUAUGCUUCUGCGUUCUCCGGUGGGACCGCAGAAAAUAUAUCGUAACCGACUCAUUGCGAUAUGCGGAACGCAAUAUUAUAUACGGAAACAAACAGGGCAUUUUUCCAUCGUCGUUUUUCACCGCACGUAACGCAAUCUCCCCGCAAUCCCAAACAAAUACUUUAGUUGUUGGUGGUAAAACCAAUACUUUAGUUCUCGUCAAACUUGAUUUCCACCUAACUAUAAUUACCUUAAUUCGUAAUUAUACUUAAUUAAAGAUUUCGUAUUCAAAUCCUGUUAGAAAAGUGUUGAACUAAAGGGGCAAUUGCUUAUAUAUUCUUGAAAAAUUUUCGAUUUUUUAUUUGGGUUAAAUGCAUACGCGUCUCUGUAAAUAUAGUAAAUUACAAAUAUAUCUAUGUAAAGUUUAACUUUUAUAUAUUGUCUUUGCAAAAGUUCUAAUAUUUUCAAAUAUGUCCCUUCGGUUUGUUACCGUUAUAAAAUUGUUUAUAUUUUAAGUGAAAUAUUAAUUUUACCAUCACAAAUAUGUCUCUUCAAAAGCCACAAUAGUAUAAUAUAAAAAGAGCAAAAAUAUCAAGUUAUUUUAUAAACUAACCAACCAGGGUUAAGUAUUAAACCUAUGAUUAACUAAAGUUUUAUAAUAGAUUCUAACGGUAGGGAUAUAUUUGAAAAUAUUAGGACUCCUGUAGGGCAACAUAUGAAAGUUGUACUUUGCAGGAAUACAUUUGUAAUUCACUAUAUUUGUAGAGACUUGUAUGAAAUUAAUUUUUUUUAUUUACCCUAUUUAAAGGCUAAUAUUAAAAGUAUCCCUUUACAGUUCCAAAUUCUUUCAAACCUAUCCUUAAAAUUAAAUUCUAUUAAUGAAUUGUUAAAAAUAACCAUUAUCUUUGUAAAAUUAUUAUUUUGUCUUUUCAAAUAUACUCUUUUAUCGUCACCAAGUUUUCUUAUUUGUUCUUAAAUUAGAGAAAAAAAAUAUUUUGACUUCUCUUUCAAAUAUAUUAUUCUACCAUCACCAAAUUUUUUUUUAUUUGCCCUUAAGUUAAGGACAGAAAAGAUAUUUUGAUUUUUUUAACUCCGGUAAAAAUGUAAUCCAAAUUUAACUCAAGGUGACUCAGUGGAUACUAACAUUGAAAGUAUUUUCGAAUAACAGAAAAAAAAAAAACAUUAAAAGAAAAUAUUUGAAACAAAAAAAAAUAGUAAAAAUAAAUAAGAUAUUUUAGAAGCAUUGAAAACUGUGUGAAGGCAAUUAUGUAUAUUAAAAGAUACAGGAGCCAGUUUCAAAUAUCAGAAUAAUGCGAGGACUACCAUGCAAUUUUACUCUACUCUCAUUCCCCUAUAAUAUGGCUAUAUAUUCAUGUAUGAGUAUCCACUACUCACCUCUCUCUCUCUCUCUCUCUCUCUCUCUCUCCAUUAAUGGCUACCACUCUCCUCCUCUCCCUCCUCCUCCUCCUCCUCUCUCCUCUCACCUUCUCCGUUCCCACGCCCACGCCCACGCCCACGCCGACCCCGCUGGUGCGGAGCACGUGCAACGCCACCACAUACUACGACCUCUGCGUCGCCUCCCUCUCCUCCGACCCCGCCGCCGCCGCCGCGCGCGACCCCACCGCGCUCUCCUCCAUCCUCGUCUCCCGCGCCGCCGCCGACGCCGCCAACGCCUCCGCCGCCGCCGCCUCCCUCGCCGGCGCCGCCGCCGCCGCUGAGCCCUCCGCCGCCGCGCUCCGCGCCUGCGCCGCCAAGUACGCCGCCGCGCGCGACGCCCUCGGCCGCGCGCUCGCCGCCCUCGCCGCCGCCGAGUACGACUACGCCUUCGUCCACGUCGGCGCCGCCGCCGAGUACCCCCGCGCCUGCCGCGCGCUCUUCCGGCGCCAGGCCCCGCGCCUCGCCUUCCCCGCCGAGAUCGCGCGGCGCGAGGACGCGCUCGAGCGCCUCUGCACCGACGCGCUCGACAUCAUCACGCUCCUCGGCGACUAAAGAAAUGCAGCGUAGCUGGAGAUGCAUACAAUCUACUUGAUUAUAAUACAAUACGCGGCACUGUAGUUAUAAAUAAUUUAUUUAAUUACAUACAGUCGAGAACUUAUGUUUAUAUAUUUUAUUAUUUUUUAAUAUGUAAUGAUGAGGUUAUCUUUAAUGUAAACAAAUUAUAUUUUGUGUUGAAGUUACACUUUCCAGCUUUGUGAAUUAAUUUCAAAUUUAUCAAACUAAAUACGCUGUGUAAUUAUAACUAAAUACAACUAACAUAGCUUUUAAUUAAUGGCCUAUUUGGUUCACAAUAUCUUUUGAUGCCUUAAAAUGGGAACCCUAAUAAAGUGAGCGUCGGAAUUAUAAAAUUUUAUGUUUGUUUCAUCAUAGAAAUCUGAUAUGAUAGAAAUUAAAAAUUUUUGUAAAAUUCUGUAAUUUCUUUAAACGUGGAAUUUAAAAACCCAUCUCAACACUAGGUAUCCUUUUCCGAUAAAUUUUGAUUUAAAAAGGCUAUAAUACUUUUGUCCAAAUUUUAUAUCUAUCACAAAAAUUUAUAUAAAUUGAGUAUAAAAAUUAAAUAAAGUUAUAAAUUUCCUAAAUUUAGGAGUAUUUAAAUAGAUUUAAUAUUCAAAUAGUCAUGAUUUUUAUGUGAUUAACUUAAUGUAAAUGAUAAUAUUAGUCUCCACAAAAAGAAAUAUUGUACUAAUUUUAUUAACAUAGUUGGACAAAAUCUUUGGUGGAGUCAAUACAAAAAUAAUAUAUUUUUGUGUAUUAAUUCUAAAAUAUAGAGUCCGGUUACUAUACUAUCGAUAGUACCUUGCGCUCGAUGCUAUCGAAUUUUUCGCUGCCAGAACUACUCCUUUAAUCAUUUCUACUCGUUACAUCAUAAAAUUCAACUAAUCACUCUCAUAACUCUAAGAGAUUAUUAUCAUCCUAAACCGCACAUCCAUUCAUCCAAGGGCCGAAAACCGAAUAGCAUAAUACUAUUAAUAAUAUAGUAAUCUAAUUCCUAUAUAUCAAAAAAAAAAAUUUCAUGCAACAGAAAUUCUAUAAUAUGAAUAAAUUUUUUAAAUAUUAAUUUUAAGUGAAUAAGUUAAAUCCUAUGAAUUAGGCAUGCCUCAUUGUGCCACCACAUAUGAUAUGUACUACAUUAAAUAGUUGAUAAUUUUUUGUUUUGAUAUUUAUUUAUAGUGAACAUGGUACACUUGCACACACACACUAGUUAGGUUUUUUUUUUCUCUUUGUUGAGAGACAAAAUUAGAGUACAUAUUAGAGUACAUAUUAUUAUCUCUCCAAAGUGCUUAUUUAGUCUAAGCCUAGGUUGUUGUUCUGUGUUUUUUUUUUUUCAAUCUUCUUUUUACACACUAGCUAGGUUUUUUUAAUAUUCUUUUUCACAAUGUUUCAUAAUGUUUCAUAAUGUUUCUAAUAAGUCAACCAAAAUCCGGAAUUUUCUCCCUCUGUCCCUCUCCAUCAAUUUUUUUUUAAUAAAAGACAGAGUAUCCUAGCUAGUGUAUAAUUCUUAAUUUGUCGUAAUUGUUUAGAGAAUUAUAUAACCAAAGCUCUCUUUUUCUACUCUGUUAAAUAUAAAUAUUAAAAAUAUUAUUUUUUGAUAGUUUAAUUUUUUUAAAAAAAUAUUUAUUUUAAUAAUUUAACAUGAUAUCAGAAUGAAAGCUGCAAAGUUUUAAUCCCAUCAAAUUCUUAAUAUCAUUUAUUUAUUUUUCUAUUUAAAUAGUAAAAUUAUAGCUUUUUUUUCAAUAUAUAUAUUCAUCCAAAGUGGGAGACCCAAUUCCUCAAAUUAGAACUAGGGUAAGUCAUAAAGAAAAGUUGAAAAUUUGGUGCCUACUAUUUGGCCCUACUAGCUUUUAAAUGGAAUUUUCUUAAUAUUAGGAGGAGUACUUCUCAUUGAUAGUUAGUGCUUACUAGCCUACCACAUAAGAUGCUUUAACACUUGUGUUGGCAUUUGACUCUUUGGUGGUCUCGUUGACCACUUGCAUUGACCUUGUCUUCCUUAGAUCAUAGCAAUUCUACAAAAUAAAAACCCUAAAAUACUGUAGCAUAUAUAUUUCAACUCACUGUUCGCAGGUCAAUUUGUGUUCUGCUCGAAAAUGAGCUCAAGUGCAACACUCAAAUACUCUAGCAAAUUUAAGCAGGACUGAUAAUUUAACUCAUUGUUCGCAGGUCAGGUCGUGUCCGACUCGAAAUGAAUUCAAAAUCAAUUGCCAGUGUAGUAAAUAAGACGAACAUAAUUUAGGGUCAGUUCACUCUUGUACAGCUCCUUAACAACCUUUACAUAUAAAAAUAAUUUUUUUAAAAAAAAUAAAAAAGUAAUCACUCCACCACUGGCAAGACAACCUUUAAUCGCCUACGGGGACCCAACCUGUGAAAUAUAAAGUCGUAAGGUUGACAGAUCUAAAAAGUAAGUCUACCAAAAUUAAGUUAGGGAAGAAGCCACUGGAAUGAAAAGAAUUGGUGUAGAACCUUCUAGACACAUAAACUAUAUUUUUAUAAAAAACUAAAAAUAAAAAAAUGCCACACUCUAUUUUAUAAAGGUGAAAAUAUAAAGAACUUAUCUGAACUAUAAAUCAUUUUGAGCUUGUUAUCUGAUCUUUUAAAAUUUUAAUUUUAGUAUUUUACUACUCAAUCUUUCUAUUUGUUUACUUUGAGCCAUUCAACGUCACUUUGAUUUCAAAUUCGAAUACGCCGUUUAUCUUUCAAACAAGUUAAAGAUUGGGCAAUAGUCUGCAAUCUAAUUUAAAAUGAUUCAUAGUUCAGAUAAAACAAGUAGAGGAUCGAAACCUCAACUUCUUAACUAAUUUAGAAAACCUCAAAAGGUUCAUUCAUUCACUACAAAUUAGAAACAAGCAUUAGUUCACUACACCACCACUUCCCGGUCGAACAACCAACUAAACCGGACCCUCCUGGGCCGGGCCUUCGCGGCCCGAUCCUCGGCCCGUUCCUGUACCUUCCUCAUCCUCGGGCCCAGCUCGCAUAUAAAAUCGCGGGCCCUCCGGCCCUCUCCGCUCAGUCCUCUCUCCAACUGCUGCAGUUUCCAUCUGUCGACUAAAAACUCUACUAUCCCGGCGUAGUCGCCCGCGGUGUAUACCCCGAUCUUUUGGGCCACUGCAGAGAAGUUCUCGAACAGCCGCGCGUCCCGGCCGUCGUGCAUGAGGUGCGCCGGCAUUGCGAUGCGCUUGCGCAUCAUGUCGGCGAUGGCAAUCACCGCGCCAUCCGGGUCGAGCUCCAGGAGCUGCUCCACGAUGCGCUCGUACGCGUGCUCGUGCCGCUUCUCGUCGGCGGCGAUGGUGCCGCAGAGCCGGGCCAGGACGGCGUCGCCGCGGGCCUUGGCGAGCCGGGCCGUGUUGCCGUGCGAGACGAACGUGGCCCGCUCCUGGAACGACGUGUAGACGUAGCCCAAGUAGGGGUUGUUCUCCGUGCCGGGGUCCUGAAAAACGGCCCAAAAGGCCCAAUAGUGAAUUUAUGAUUAUACUUGGGCCAGGCCCAAAAGGCCCAUUGGGCCAGAGUAACUAAGCAGUACAUUGGUAUACUCCCAUGUUAGGAAAUAGAGGGUCACUUUAUCAAUCAAUUUGAUGAGUAUUGUUUUUUACUUUUUCUAUUUUUUUAAAAAAAUUGUGUCCAUGGCAAAAUUAUGUACCGUUUAAUAGUGAACCGAUUAAGCUUUUUGACUUUAUAUAUAUCAGGAAAUUAACGGCUAAUAGUCAAAAUUUGUACUUAACACAACCCAAAAAAAUAGUCAAAAAAUUCUCUAUAAAAAAUGGGAAAAAAUUAUUGUGCUCAAAAGUCUAAACUAAGGACAUUAUUCAAACAACCUUUUCGUCAAAUAUCAUCAACAGCAUUAACUUUUUUAAAAAAAGGGAUUGUCCCCGAGCUGUUCAUAUAACUUUAAGAUUCAUGUUAUUGGUAAAUAGAAUAGAAAAUUGUUCCUAUGAAAAGACAAUCUAAUCAAACUGUCCAUCAAUUUGUGCAUUGUAUAUGAUGACCGCUUGAUUAGACUUUCUAUUUUAGGGGCUAAGCGACGUGGGUGCAUGCAUGCAUGCUCUUACGUACCAUUCCCGCGCCGACGAGGUACUGCACCGUCUUUUCGACCAUCCGCAUGUCGACGCGGCCGGAGAGGUACAGGUACUUCCCGAGCGCAUCACCGUGCCGGUUCUCCUCGGCGGUCCACGCCCGCGUCCACACCGCCCACGGGCUCGCGCUGGCCCCGGUCUCGUCCCGCACCCCGUCCAGCGUGUUGAUCAUCGUCUGGUACGUCGGCAGCGCCUCCUCCGUCACCAUGUCCCCCACAAGCACUGCAAGUAGCUCGUCGGGCAAUUGCGCCGACCGGGCCCUCAAUUCCCGAACCUGGGCCCCAAACUCCUCCGUGGGCCGGGCCGAGUCCGGCAGGAAGUCCGUGGGCUGCCAGCAUUGGUCCACGGGCUUCAGCAGCGGUAAGAGGGCCCGGCGGGCCCAACUCUCGAGCGAUUUGAACACCUCGGCCUUCUCCGGCGGCAUCGAGUGCGUCACGCUCCGUCGCACCAUCGGCGGUGCCGCCACCGCCGCAAUCUUAUUAAUUGAGAGCCGAGACACAGUUGAUGAGUCUGCAUUGCACACUACUAUUCUUACUACCGCGUUUGAAAAUAUGACCGCGUUAUGAUUUCCGUNUCGCGGCCGCCGCGGCGCUCCAAUUAAUUGAGAGCCGAGACACAGUUGAUGAGUCUGCAUUGCACACUACUAUUCUUACUACCGCGUUUGAAAAUAUGACCGCGUUAUGAUUUCCGUGUGUGUAUAUAUAUAGAGUGGGGUGCGGAAAUAAAUGACCUUAGAAAGGGCAUAAAAUUUCAAAAAAGGGUGGUGGUUUUAUGACGCUUGUGGCCGUUGGGGUAAAGGGUAUUUGCGUCAUUUCACAUAACGGAGAGGGUUUGUGACCGAGUUGUGCUUUUUUAACAAAACCAAUGGGUGCAGUGGUUUUAUGGUUCCUGUGGGUGUAACAUCCCCUUCGUGGAAACUAUCGCCUGGACAGGGUGCAUGAGCCGCACCAGUUAGAGCGCGAAACGUGGCAUGUUAACCAAUGAAAAGGGGGCGUGGGAUUUGGAAUCGGUGGGGCUGAGAAUAUCAUCGUGGCGGUCGAGUGUUUUGUUAAUUGGGGAUUAGUGGGGUGCGAUUAAUUAAGUUAACCUUUUUAGCGACGCCACCGGGUUUAAUUAAAGGGGUUUUGGCACGUGCGGAGGGGGCGGUGGUUGAGGCCGCAGCACGUGCCCCACAAGGCCCAUUUCUAGGCCCAUUAGAACAAUUUUUUUUUUUCUUCUUUACGUUUUUUUAAAAAUUUUUCAUGGGCCUGGCCCAUUGGGAAUCGUGGGCUUAGUCUUAAUGUAAACUAGCUCUUUAUUAAUUUAACGCAUUUAUAAUUUAUUGGCAUUUUGUGAAUAUAAAUAUUAAAAAAUAUAAUUUUAUGGUAGCUUAAUUUUUUAUAGAAUAAUAAUAUUUUUAUAAAAUUAAUUAUGGUAUCAAAACAUGACAGAGAGAAACCAAGCAAUUAAUAAAUAAAAAAAAUAUAUAUGAAUUUAUAACUUACACUUAUCUCAAUUGUAUAGUCAUGUUUUAUUCAUCGUGGUAAACCAUAUAUAAAUGGAAGCAGUAAAUGCGAACUCACUUUACACAUUUUCCAUCCACACUCAUUUUAUUUUAUUAUUAUUGUUAUUAUUGGGAGACGCGUACGCAAACGACUCUCCCCAUCCAUGCAUGCAAACCCUACUUUUCAUAGGAGCCAAACAAAGCCAUGUCCUUCCUAAACCCUGCGUUCAAGAAGACGAUGGCCAUUAUCCGGAACCGCCGAGCGCAGCGGCGGCCGCUCCCCUCCUACCUCUUUGCGUGACGCUUCGGCGAUCGCUUCGUGCUUCCUUUUCACUUCUUGUAGUUUGAUAUCUUCAUCGAUACAUAGUGCUACAAGUUGCUCGCCGUGGGGGCCCGGAACGACGGUCUCGUGGACGUGAACAUGGUCUUCGGAGCUCACAACCUUGUCCUCUUCGACCGCUUUCUUCUUCUCCUUCUUCUUCUUCUUUCUGAGGCAGCAGCAGAGUGCUGCUGCCAAGAAGGCAAGGAAGAAUAGCCCGCCGAGCGAGACAAACACGACGGGGGGAGUGGCAGGGGAGGGGACGGUGAGGGGGGCAGCGGCGGCGGCGGUGUCACAUGGAGGCGGAGGGGGAGCACUGGGGCCUAGGGGGGCCGGGCGUGGAGGCGCGGGCGGGGGCAGGCGGUGGAAUUGCGGGGGAGGAGGUUAUAGCUGGAGGCGGGGAGGGGGGGCCCCAUCAUGGGACGGCGGCGGCGGCGGAGGGCUUCGCUACGCGAAGGGGGAAAGACGGGGGCGGCGGGACGGAGAGGGCGGCCGAGGGGGCUUGAAAGGGAAUGUUGAGGGGGGAGGGAAGAAGGGGAAGCCAUAGUUUUGAGGGGAGGGGAUAGAAGACAUGUUGUGUUGAGUAGGAUUAGAUGCAAACUAGCUAGGGAUGAGCAAAAUGGUGUGAGUGUGUGUUGGUAUUUAUAAGAACCAAUAUAGAUAUAUAUUGACAUGUAUAUAUAUUAAUAUAUUAUAUAUGUAGUGAAGUGUGAUUUGGUUUGCAUAUGUGUAUGACUUGGCUCCCAUGCUAAGGCUUUUGUGAGAGUUGCUUCAAAUCAAUGUGUUGCUUACCUAGCAACGUGGGGAAGGCCUUUCUCUAUAUAUAGAUAUAUAAUAUAAUUUGUGUAACUAAGAAGCUUUGGAAAAGAACUACUAUACUCAUGGUCAUGAGUAUUAUUUGUUAAGGCUUUGUUUGGUUCCGGGAUAACGAAUAUUGAAAUAAAUUUUUUAUUUCUAAAAUAAUUUGCUAUUCUGAAAUAAUUAAGAUAAAAGUUAAAUUAUUUUUGAUUAAUUUUAUGAGAUAGUAGAGAAUAGUGGGAAAAAAAAUGAUCGUUUGAAUUUGAUAUAAAAUAUAAUUUAAUAAAAAUUUCUUAUAAAAAUAAUUAUUGUAAAAACAAUUUAUAAAAUAAUUCAUUAAUAAUUAUUGUAAAAAUUAUAAUAUUUAAUAAAAAUAAUUUAUUAAUAAAUUAUGAUUUAAUAAAAAUAAUUUUUAUAUAUAUAAUUUUUUAAAAUUCUACUUAAACUUAAAUUUAAUAAAAAUAAUUUAUUAUAAUAUUUAAAUANNNNNNNNNNNNNNNNNNNUAAAUAAUAUGUAUUAAUAUAAUAUUAUUAUAAUUUUAUAAUAAAAAUAAUAUAUUAUAAUAUAUAACAUAUGAUAUCUAUAUAAUUUAGUUUAAUUCGUUUUUUAAUUUUAAUAAUGUUUGAAAUUAAACUUUGGAAUAGCACUAUUCUGCCAAAAUGGUGGAAUAAUAAAUUUCAAGUUAUUCCGGAAUAGCCAGAAAUAGCAAGGUUUGACAGGAAUAAAAUAUCUUGACCAAAAAGCACUUCAUUUGGUGGAAUAGCGGGAUAACUUUUGUUAUCCCCGCUUUAUCCCCGAAUCAAAUCGGUCCUAAAGAAUAUAAAACAAUCUCUAAUCUCCAAAAUUUUAAGCUAAUAGAGAACAAUGUUUAAAUAUCUUUAUAUUUACCACUUUUUUUACGUGAUCGAGACUUGUGGACUUGAAUUAAGUGAGAGAAAAUCGACAAAGCUAGGAGUUUGGCGUUACUAGAAUUCAGAACCUCCUUCUCUGAUAUUAUAUUAAAGAAUAUGAAACAAUCGUUAUUUUUCAAAAGCUUACACUAGUAGAGAACGAUGUUUAAAUAUUUUUAUAUUUAAUAUUAUCCUCUUUUCUUUUGUUUAUUGACGAGUUCUUUGCAAAGUUUUAAAAGUUGGUACAAAAUCUACACAUUUCUUAGUUACUUUUAAGUUUACAGGAGUAUAUGAAUUCAAACAGAUCUCUAUGGGCUCAGCCCAGCUAAAAACAUCACCUUGGGCUCCUUCAACCCAAAUAAGGCCCAAUAAAAGGGGUCUUAUUAACAGCUAAAUUUGAAUUCCCCUCUAUCCCUCCCUCCCUCAAUUGCUCGGCCAUGCACUGCGCGGCGAGGACGCAACGACGUUGGCGCACCUUCAGCGGUGUCGACGGUGGCGACAAUCUCAGCUGCAGCGACGGCAACGGUCAUGGUAAUGGUUAGAACGCACAGCAAAACCGAGAAAGAAAUCGAGAGUUUAAACCAGAGAGAAUUAUCAUAUGAGCAAUCAACUUGUUGCAAUAAUCCGCUUCUAUUAGAUUACAAAUCACUAUAUGAACUUUCAGAAAGAAUGUUAAUCGCCACUAAAAUAUGUUAAAAAAAGCGAGCCAAUUACGCUUUAAUCAUCGGUUUGUGGCAGGUUAAGAUGAAGAAUAAAUGGGCCCAAUCAAUAGACAAGUUAUCAGAUUAUUGUUAGCAGGUCAAUCCAACAAACCUGGAUAUAUGUCACAAAUUUUUAAUUAAAAAUGUGGUUUACCAAAUAGAGGUGAUGAGAAACAAGGCCUACCAACUCCUGCUUUAGGUUUACCUGUUUUUGUACGGAAAUGUAUAGCAUAUUGCCCCUUUUUAUCACGAAAAUAUGAAAAAUUCAGAUAGUAUUCUAAAAUAUUGUUGAUGAGUCGAUUUUGCAUAUAUUAUAGUUGAUUAUUGGAUUAGCUUCUCAACUAUGAUCUUUAACUUAGGUAUCACUUCUGAUAUCUAGAAACAUAUAAGACUGAUUAGCUGCGAAAGACAUAAGACUGACUCGUAAACUGUUAGAACAAAUACCGCACAGAAAUCUGAUUGUGAUUUAAAUCUAACUAAAUUUUUAUUAUGAAAAUAAAUAAAUCAAUUUACAGAUGAUCGCUAAAUCCAAAUAAAUACUUAAUUGAUCCGGAAGCGUGCGAGGCAUUGCCCUAAGGCGUAUUCCCGUCCUUACGUGCGGGAUUAACCGGGAACAACACCCCAAGGUACGACCGGAAUUCCUCCUCCUGCGAGCACGAUCGUGAAGGAGAUUGACGGUGACUCUUUCAACACCCAGCGAUAAAUAAAAAAAAUUAACUUAUGAAAAAGGGAUAUCAAAGUAAAACAAAAUUUCAUCUCUUUUACUUCUCUAUAUAAUAUUCAUAUAUCAUGAACAGUAUGUAGAGGAAUAAUCUAAUAAAUAAAGAGAAUGGGUUGAACAUUGGAAUCCUCAAAGGAUUCCAAUAGUGGAAACGGUUUCCACUAUUAAUCCAUCUCAUUAAUUAAAAUAAAUAACAAUGGAUACUAAUAAAUGAGAAUAAAAGAAUUAAUAAAUAACAAUUAAAAUAAUAAUAAUAGUAAUUAAGAAAUUUGAGUAGUAAUAAUAAUGAUUAAGGGAUUUUGAAUUUUCCUCCAACAUAAACUGUAUACUAAAAUCUCAUUACGUAUCUAUUGUAUUAUCUUUUAUAAAAAGUGAUGAAUCACAUCUUAUAUUAGUUUUGCAUACGAGAGUGACUCAAUUAAUAACAUAUCCAUUACAUUAUUGUGUUACAAGAAGUGAUGAAUCACACCUUAUAUUAGGUAAGCAAGAGAGAGAGAGAGAGAGAGAGAGAGAGAGAGAGGUUGCUUUUUAAGGAUGCAACACAUGUGCUUUCACAUUUUUGAACAUUGGAUAAAUGUGAAGAUCUAUAUAUAGUAUGAGAAAGUUCAUGAAAUUCUCAAUGUGGACAACAAGUGUGUGUUCACUUACCCAGAAGCAGUACUUCUGACUAAAAAAUCUUCAACAGGAUUUUGCUACACUCAAUGGAAAUUAUGAGUUAUAAGGCCUGUGAUUUUAUAUAUAGCUCAUAUACUCAUAUUAACUUCCUACCACAAUACCGACCGUCUCUAGAGCAAGUGGCAAAAGGCUUGGUGGUUGAUACCCGAGAUCCAAGUUUGAAUCCUAGUUGAUUCACAUUUCCAGCUAAGUUUAUUUCUAAAUAAAAUAAACGAAUCGGGUAGCAUGCUACAUUUCUCUCUCAAAAACAAAAAAAAAAAAAACUUCCUACCACAACUAUCUUUAUUUGUAUGCGGAGUAAUUGUUAUUUAGUAUGACAAAAAAAAGUUGUUUCCAAAGCUAGAUAUUAAAAAUCAAUGCUAACAAAUUAAGAAAAUGUAGAUGUUCUAGAUUUCUAAUUCAUAUACACCAGGCGAUUUGAGCGUCCUUCGUUAAGGAGCAAUCAUCAGUAACGGUGGCAAUCGAACAAUUAGUGCAAAACAUGAUUGAGUGGAUAUCUUUGUCGGCUUUUGAUAGACGGUAAAUUUGAGCAAAGCCUGACCUAGGGCUAGGGUUGAGCCAGAGAAAGUUAGGUCAGCUCGAUCCUGAUGCAACAUUGAAAUAAAAGAACUCAUACAUGACCUAGAUUUUUCUGAACCUCAAUUUUUGACACUUAAGUUAGCCAAAUAAGCAGGUCCAAAUUCGAUCAUUUGACUGAGCAUGUUGGACUUGAUUUGUCGCUGUCUAAUAGAUGAUUCAAAUAAGUAAUGUGUAGAAAUUUUUUGCACAUGUACAAUUUAAACUAAAAAUGUGCUAUAGCAAAAGCACCAAGCUGCACAUGUUGAUGUGCAACUUAACCAUGCAAUGGGUGUCAUUAAAUGGAGGAGCUUCAAAUCUAGCUUGUCCAAUCAUGCCAAUGCCCAAUUUGUAAUUUGUAAAAUGGUCAAGGCCUUCACUUACAUACACCCCUUUUGAGACAUGCAUAACUCCAAUUUUACCCAAACAGUGUACAACAAAUUAAUAGAUCCCCUUUAAGAGCCUUGCUUGGUCAUACACACAAUCACUUAGAUGCAAACUCUAAGGAAGAAUCAUCUUUUUCUAAGAGAGAGGACACCUACUAUCCUCCCAAGCUAUAAGUGGAUUCCUACUAAAAAGGCUCAUUGUUGUUAUCAUACAUCUUUCCCUUCUAAGAGAACUUGUUAUCUACACCAGGUUUAUCCAUAUAUCUCAUGCACCUCAAUCAAUAUGUAACAAACAAGGUCUUUAAAUUAAAAAUUUUAGGGUGCACCAAUUAUAUUGCUGAUAUGGCAUUCCUAACCAAUCAGAUUAUUUUUCUUGAAUUUACCUAUCCCAUCAUGGUCAUUAGAUAAAUAUUUUUAUUAUACUUUUUUUUUUCAAAAAUAGAAGUAUUAUUGGCUGGUUAUUGAUUAUAUAGUAUAAGUGUGGCAUAGAGAACUUAUUCCUUUAAAUCGAGAUCUAGUAUUAUAUUUUUAUUCUACACCAACGAAAAAAGAAUACGUAUUAAAGUUAUGUAAACAUAUUAUCGAGAUAUCAAGUAGUUUCAAAAUAAACGGUUUAAAGAAAUACUCUUUAAUUUAUAAAAAAAACUAAUUUCCAUAAUUUGUGAUAAUUUUCUUUAGUAUAUAGUCCUCUUUUAAUGGUGACAUUCAUGAGAUAGAGCAACAUUAUACACACAUACAUAUUUUAAAGUAUUUUACGACUAUGCUAGUUUAGAUAAUUUUAAUUGCGCCGUUGAUACAAUUUAUAAAAGAAUAGAUCUGAGAGAGACGAACAACAAAGUUGAAGAGUUUUAUGUGCUAUGAACACUGACUGUGACUUUAUGUACUUCGUGAGAUUAUGAAUUCAUUCAAUACAAAAGACAAAGUUAAUCUCAAACAUACGAUCAAAGUACACGAUUUCUUUUUCUCGCAACUUUGACGAAAUAAACAGGUCCUAUCACCCUGUUUGGUUCGGGUGCAAGGGGUAGGAUAAAGAGUUAUCCCAACCUUUAUGCCCAAACAAAAAAAAAAGAGUGAGAUAGCUAUCCCACCUCUUAUGUGGGAAUAGCGGUGGAAACAGUUGUUCUCAUCCCUAUUUAAUUUUUUAAAAAUUUAAAUUUAAAAUUUUAAAAUUUAUAAUUUGUAAUUUUAAAUUAAAAAUUUAAUAUUUUAUAUAUUUAAGUUUUGAUUUAAUUUAAAAUUUAAAAUUUAAAACUUUAAAUUUUUGAUUUUGAGAUUUAAAAUUUUAAAUUUAAUUUUAAAUUUUUAAAAUUUAAAAAUCAGAUAUUUAAAUUUAAAAAAUUAANAGUUGUUCUCAUCCCUAUUUAAUUUUUUAAAAAUUUAAAUUUAAAAUUUUAAAAUUUAUAAUUUGUAAUUUUAAAUUAAAAAUUUAAUAUUUUAUAUAGAGCAAUUUUGCAUUUAGAUAAAAAUUAAAAUUCAAAUAAGAAGAUAAUGGACAAUAUCAUUAUUUUCUAUUUAUAACUAUUCAUUAUUUUUCUUAUUCCAUCUUAUCUAUUCAAACACUAUUUUUUUUUAUUCCCGAUAACAAUUUAAUUUUUAUCUAAAUGCAAAAUUGCUCUAUUGUAAGUUUAUAUCUAAACUUAUAACUAUUUCUGAAAUAAACAACUCUUUUUUAUAUCCGAACCAAACGAAGUCUAUAAGCAUACACGAGGUGCACGAAAUAAUUAAGAAUAUAAGGUUAAAAGUACCACUCUAUAUUAUGAACCUUUCCAUUUUUUCCCAACUACUACCCCAAACUGGGCCCCACGCACCUAUCCUCUCAAAUUUACGAAAAUACCCUCGUUCGGGAGCUAUUUAACCUCCCGCCCCAACCGACCCUUUUCCUCUUCUUCUUCCUCUGCGUCUUCUUCGUAGAGACCUCUCCUUCGCUUCUCCGCCAUUUUUCGCCCCGAGAGCAGCUCGAAACACUUCAUGGUCGGGGUUAGGGUUAGGGUUAGUGUUUCUAUCCGAAGAAGAAGAGGCGCCGGUCCGAAGGAGUCGAGCGAUCGCGCGGCGUAUCCGGUUCGAUUCCCAUGUGUUGCCCCUCUCUCUUUACCCGAUUAUCGCUGUAGAUCAUAUGAUAUUUGAGUUUUUUGGUAGAUUAUUUUGUUAUAUUGCGAAUUUAGUGAUCUCCCGAUCGAAAUGAUCCGUUUCUACUCGUUGUCGCGAUCGGAUUGAGAUAGAAAAUGUCUGAAUCCGUCGCUACGGGGCAUCUCGGAUCGGGGUGGGUGAUCUCGUGGUUUUUGAGCGAUAUGUGAAUGGGUUGUUGAGGGGGAUUUGAUCGUGGAGGCGUGUAGAAUGGUUGUGCGGAGGGCGCGGCGGCGGCGGCAGAGAUGGUGAGCGGUAGCUUUAGCCGGAGCACAUCGAUUCGCCUCACGCCGAGGAGUGUGGGGAGCCCUAGGGUUUCGUCUCAUCGGAAAUGGUGGGCGCAUGGCCCGUCGAUCAGCGCACUGGCCGUGACGUUCUUCCUGGUCUCCAUUGUUCUGGUUGUUGGAUGUGUGCUGUAUCUGUAUUUCGUUCGCUACUUGAAUCGCGAGAACUUGGUUUCCGGAUUCCCCGGUGAGGCGGAUGCGUGCGAUGUGUUUGACGGUAGCUGGGUCGCUGACGGGACGUAUCCGCUGUACAACAGUUCGGAGUGCCCCUUUGCUGAAAGAGGGUUUAAUUGUUUGGCAAAUGGGAGAAAGGAUAUGGACUAUUUGAAGUGGAGGUGGAAGCCGCGGAAUUGCGAUGUGCCCAAAUUUAAUGCACCUGAUGUCUUGGAAUGGCUUAGAGGGAAGAGGGUUGUUUUCGUUGGUGAUUCGAUGAGCCGCACGCAGUGGGAGUCUUUUAUUUGUAUGCUCAUGACCGGGGUUCGGGAUCCGCAGAGUGUUUACGAGGUCAAUGGGAAUCAGAUCUCAAAGACCAUUCGCUUCUUGGGUGUUCGGUUCCCAGAUUUCAAUUUGAGUGUGGAGUUCUUCCGGUCUGUGUUUCUUGUACAGCCGGGCCUGCCACCUUGGCACGGGCCCAAACGAGUCCAUUCAACGCUCAAGCUAGAUAAGAUGGAUGAGAUAAAUGGGAAGUGGGUUGAUUCGGAUGUCCUUAUUUUUAACUCUGGCCACUGGUGGACUCCAAGUAAAUUGUUUGACAUGUAAGUUGUUUUCUUAUUUAUUUCUCGAAUUUUUAUAUCACUUUCUGCUGGAACAGCUCAAACAGAUUUUGUCAUAGUGCAUCAGCAAUUCUGAUGUUCUACUGUGCUCAUUAAUAUGAAAUACUAUUGUUUUCCCUUUUAUCACCACAUAUCAAUAAGUUUCCGUAAAUUUAUUAGUUAUGUCAACACUAUUAGGGAUCAACCUGAAAAUCGUUGCUCUUAGCUUCAUCUAUUCGUCUUGUUUUUCUCUCUCUUUCUCUUACCUUAAUAGAUCUCAUAUGACUCAUGAUCCAUAAUUAAUAUGAUUUCUGGAUUAGGAAUGGUAAUCAUGUUGCAGAUAUUGUUCUCUAAAUCAUGUCAAGAAAAUUUGGGGAGUAAAAAUCUCCUUUUAUUAAAAUUGAUCUAUUUAUCAGAUCUUUUAAAAUAAGUUAGUAUUUUAUAUAGGCUUAUUCUUAUUGUUGCCUCGUGGGAUAUUUUACAGCCUGUUUGGAAGGAGAGAAUAGGAGAGAAAGAAGAGAAAAAUUACAAGAAAAAAGAAAGAAAAAAAUGUUCUCAUGUUUGGAUUCAAGUUUUGGGGCAGGAAACAGGAUAAUCAGGCAUAGUGCUUAGGAAAGAGAAUAAUGUUUAUUUGAUCACUUCGUUGCUUAUUUGAUUGGUUUGUGGCAUUUUGCAUGUAACUUUUUGUGGCAUUACUGCUGAUUUAAAAACUCUUAAUAAAGAGAUUAAUUUGAAUUUCCAAAUAUUGUCAGUUUUCUGCUUUACUUAUCGUAUGACUUCCCUUCACUGAUCAUCAGUAAUAAUGUUGUGUGGUUCUGAGGGAUUGUCAUAUAUGUAAUAUGCUACCUGUUUGCUGUGCCGUUUGAUUUCCUACUGUGUUCAUGGGUAGGAAUAUCUGCAGCGCAAGUUACUGUGGAAACUUUUAUAUUGUUGAACUUUUCUGAAUCAAACUUCUCGACAGGGGUUGCUAUUUCCAGGUUGGAGGAACGCUCAAGCUUGGAAUGCCUAUCAAUGCGGCCUUCAGAACGGCUUUGGACACAUGGGCAUUGUGGGUAGAAAAAAUGGUGGACAUGAACAGAACUCAUGUCUUUUUCCGGACUUUUGAGCCUUCUCACUGGAGGUGAGCAUUUGUAUCCCAAGAAGUAAUUAUUUCAGGAAAUACGUCUAAAAUGGUUUUACUGGUCACUGAAUCGUAAGAAUAUUGUUUUUGAAUAAAAACUGAGGCAAAAUUAACUGUUUUAUCUCCUUUUACCUGGCAUGCCAUCGCAGCUCUUGGGUUGACCUCCACCAGAUUUGGAUAUAUUAAAGGCUUUAUUCCCUUCUUUUUUGUGCUUAUAAUAAUGUCUAUAGAGAGUCAGAUUAUAUGAUUUAUCUUUAGGCAGUUUAAAAAUGUUAGUUUGAUUUGAGUUGGUAUUUGACCAUGGAAUAUCACUGCCACAGGAACUGAUCGCUUUAGGUAUUUUCCUAUUUUAGCAUGAUGUUAGAUGCUUGUAUUUUGUUCGCUGGUACUGAUAUAGUUACAUGCAUCCAUGCUUGGUAUGGAGAGCCAUGAACAAAAUGUAUUUGUUGUUUCCUAAAUAUCAUCAGGCAUUUAUACCAAGUAACAAACAUCAGAUACCACAAAUGGUGUCUCAUAUCAUUCUUAUUAUACGAGAUAAAUUGAAUAUACCUCUUGUAAUGAUCCAGCGGCUCAAACCAAAAACUGUGUGAAGUAACUGAACAGCCUUCCUCCGAGCUGAAGGGAAACGAUGGGAGUGAGUUCGGGGACAUCUUAGCUGACGUGACAGAGAGGAUGAGAGUUCCUGUCACCGUAUUGAAUGUGACUUCAAUGGGAGCAUCCCGGAGCGAUGCCCAUAUUGGUAUUUAUAGCCAUCCCUCCACCAUUCUCGAUUGCAGCCAUUGGUGCCUUCCUGGAGUCCCAGAUGCUUGGAAUGAGCUUGUAUUCUCGUAUUUGCUGACAGAUGGUAAGUUUCCUGGUUGUGCAUUUAUAUGCUAUUUGGAAUUUUAUUCAAGUGCUAUGGUUACUACAAAUAAAUUUGUGCAUGCCUGCCUUAUGCUGCAUGUUUUUGCAAUGCUGGUACCUGUUUGGCAUGACUCUUGGACAAGCUUCUUUCUAUGAAAAGCGGCAACUGGAAAUUUGACCGAUAAAAAAUAUAAAAGCUACUAGGCUGUGAAAGCAGAUAGUCCAAUCUGAAGCACCCGCAGCUACUAGGCCGCGAAAGCGGAUAGUCCAAUUUGAAGCAUCUGCUUUUGCUGCAGCAUUAAGCUAUAUUUGGUUAAUUGCAAUAAGAUAUUAGAACUAGUUACCUCCUAAGAAACUCUAGCCGGGCCAAACAGAUCCCUACUUGAGGAGAAGUUGCUGCCUUGACCUGCUCCGCUACGUCGGCCUUGGACCGCCCAGCGAUCGACCACAGAUCUCAUCCAUUCUUAAAAUCAUCAUCACCACCCAGCGAGUUUCAGUCUUUUCGAAAUCUGAAAGUUAUUUUCAUUUAAAGUUGUGGCGAUUGAAGGAAGUGAUGAGAUGAAGGGUACACGGCUGCGCGGCAGACCAGGUCCAGGCAAUAAUUCCUACCUGAGCAUGCAUAGUUCUUUUUAUUCCAACGUAGCGUGAAACAACCCUUAUAAAUUUGCGACGCAAGUGUUGCCUUCUCUAAAUAUGCUAGCUUACUGAUGAGCAGAAACCUUUCAUGUUGUAAUAUCCAAUGCAGCCCUUGAGCUGUUUACUCCUACGGAUUUUAUGGGGGAAAAAAAAUCAUUUUCUAGCUUACAUUGGACUGGAGUUCUUCUUCCUUUUUUUUUAUUAUUAUAUGGUGAUUAUAAGUUACCACAUUAUGCGCGGAUUACCUGUUCUUUACUGUAACAUAGCAUUUUUUAUGAUGAGUAAUUUGUGCGCUUUUUAAUUUUCUGUAGGUUGGAGAAAAAUGGUACGAUAAAAGUCAGGUUUGGUGGUUCUCUUUCUAUUUGUGCUUCCUUUUUUUUUUUCCGUUUUUCUUUUUCAAAUCAAAAGCAGCGCACUGCGAGGUAUGUUACUUUUGUCCAAUUUUUUAUAUUCUUUUUUCCCUUGAGUUCGUGAAUUAACUCCAAUGUGUAGUAUUUUGUAGCUUUAGUUUAUUUUUCCUAGAGGAAAGUGAAAUUACCGAGAUAGAUUGAUCGAUCGAUCGAUCGAUCGACCAUCUGAGGUGUAUGUAAUGGUAAUUGUUUUUAUAGAUGCCAACUUCAAUUUUGUUUUGUAUAGAAGACCUUCGUUUGAUCAAGCAAUUGAUUGAUCUGAGAUCUUGGUGCAUUUUUCCAGUUUCGUCGAAUUUUUUUGUUGCCCGGUGAAAUUUCUACGGAUGUUAUUUACAAUUUCGAUUGAACUGUUUUUCGGGUAUCUUCGUAGUGGUUAAAUACAUAAUUUUAUUUUUCUUAUUUAUGAACAUUUCUCUUGUUCUUUGAUCCGUGUCUCAUUUUUAUUUCUACAUGAAGGAAUGUGUGUUAAUUUCUAUCGUGUACUUAAAACUAGUGUCCCAAAUGAGGCCCAAAAAUUUUACAUGAUUAUUGAAUUUAUAUGUAGAAUUUUAGCGGAAUAAGUAGGAAUAUGACAAGUUGUCAUCUGAAUAAGGUAAAAAUAUUCACAACUUACUUGAAUUAUGAUUUAUUUUGAAUCGACUAUCUGGUCUUUUAAAAGUUGGAUCUUAUUAUCAGAUCUUUCGAUUUGUUUGAUUUGAGUUAGCGAGGCAUUUUGACUUCAAAUUUUAAACUAAUUAUUUAUUUUAAUAAGUUUGUAAUUAUGAGAAUUAUAUAAAGUGUACUAAUUCAAUCUAUUAGUAUAGACGUCAUAUUUAAAUUUGAAAUCUUGAAAAGCUGGAUAGUAAAAUUAAAACUUUAAAAGAUGAAAUAGUUGAUUCAAAAUAAUUUACACUUUCGGUAAGCUCUAUUAUAUAUUUUCACCUUUGAAAUAACAAUUCUAAGACUAGAUAAAAAGAGAGAUCUUUUGUUAUUAGACCUAUCUAAAUUAGUAGUUUAUUAGUUAAUUCCGUUAAUUUAUAUAAAUUUUUUCUGUUAUAUUUAGCUAAUGUCACUCGUCAACUCGUUUUCAGGGAAUCCUACAUCUAAUGUCACAGUCACUAUAAAUAUGUAGACUUUUUGGAGGCAACAACACAGUGCUUAUUUGAAAUUUAAUGUAUAAUUUUGUACGUAUACGAUCGGCUAAAAGGAACAUUGAGUUUUUUAUUUUCUUUUUUUUUGUGUUUUUUUGUGGUGCAAUUCAACUUUGUUUGUAUUUAAAUCUUCAAUGCUGAGAGCUUCACAGUCGCCGAAAUUUCAUGCGAGAUUAUAAUUUGUACUAAGCCAAUCCCAUAACCUGGUGCGACAAAUAGAUAUUAAAUCACAAGGGCAAUAUAUUUAUUUUAACUUGAUUUUAUUCCUGUGCUCUUAUCUUAGGAGAAUAUAGAUGAGAAGUAUGGUUACAAUUUUUCUAAAAUGCUGUUUGUUUUCAUGAAAUAGUUAAUGUGUUUAGUGUACAUUACACCACAAGUAUUUUUUUUUUUUUGAGGAAAAAUAAUAUGCACUCUGUCAUUUAUUUUUUUAAAAAUAAUUUAGUUGAAAAUGUGACAUCAAGUAAAUUCAACAAUUUGGGUCAUAUAUAUAUAUAUAUAUAUCGUAUAGAGAGAGAGACUGAGAGAGAGAGAGAGAGAGAGAGAGAGAGAGAGAGAGUCCGGUUGUUAUGCUAUCAAUAGCACCAAGAAGUUGGAGCUAUCAAGUUUUCUGCCGUUAGAUUAACCCCUUUGAUUAUUUUUACCCGUUAGAUUAUACUAUUCAACCAACCACCUACUUAACCCUAGGGGGCCCACAUCAUCCUAAUCGCACAUCUUUUAAUCUAAGGACGGAAAACUUAAUAGCACUAAGUUAUUAGUGCUAUUGAUAGUAUUCCAAUCUAGUUCUAUAGAGUCCGGCUGCUAUGCUAUCGAUAGCACCAAAAAGUUAAGUUUUCUGCCGUUAUAUAUAUAGUAGAACUACUAUGCUAUCGGAAGUAUAGAGAAUCUGAUAUUUUUGAUUUUCGAUUCAAGCGUUAAAAAAUCAAAAAAAUCAAAUCCUCUACGUUUUCAAUAAUAUAGUAGCUCUAUAUUUAACUAAAAUUAUGAAAUAAUUAAAUUUAAAAUUUAAAAUUUAAAAUUCUAAUUAUCAAACUUUUCACUACUGGUGCUAGAAACGGCAGUGUCAUUAUGAGACUGUUACUGAGAGGAAGACUCUCCCCUCCAGUCCAACAGACAGACAGUCCCACAUUAAAAGGUGCGGCCUCACUUUUCGGCACGACAUUUAAUUUUAAUUUUUUUUCCUUUAUUGGGCUGUUAUUAUUAUUUUAUUAUUAUUAUUAGCGCUAAUGAAAUUGAAAUGACGCCUGCUUUCAAGAACACUUUAUUAAUUUUAGCAGCAGGAAGGAUUUCCUGCCAGUAGUGGUCAUGCAAAAGUCGCACCCAGUUUUUCCACCAGAGACCUUCACCACUAAACGACAUUAUCCCCCUACUCUCGCCCUCUACUCUCCUACAUUGUUUGUGUUUUUCUCUCCCAAACCCCCCUUGUGUUACGGCAUUUUCACUUGCUACUCUGUGGUUUAUAAGACGUACAAUUUACCGCGACCCUGUGUUUCAUUUUUAAUCUUUCGCGAUACGAGCGACAGAAGCUUUUUCGGUUAAUAUUUCGUUAAAUUUAUACAAAAACAUUCAGAUAACAUCUAUAUUUACGAAUAGUCACUCCCACCGUUAGUACCUUCAAAUUUAACUUUUGUCACUGAUUUAAAAUAAUAAUAAUAAAAUUGACAAAAAAGAAAAUAAAACGAAAACCACCGGACCGGGGAGCAAAAUUGAUUCUACGUUUAAAAAAACCACACUAAGGAGCAAAAGUAAAGAAUGCACGAAACCACAGGGUUUUGAAAGUUUUCCCAAAAAAAUAAAUACACAAACAAUCGUAAGGAGGAGUAGAGGGCGAGAGUAGGGACUAGGGCGAUAUAUGCGUUUAGCUGGUGAAGGUCUUGGUGGAAAAGAACCUGGUGCGACUUUGCUGACCAACUGCCUUACUGGCAGGAACCUCCUGCUGCGAAGAAUUAAUAAAGUGUUUUUGAAAGAAAACAAAAAGCAGCGAGCGUCCAUUCACUUUCCAUUAGCCUAAAAUACAUAAUAAAUCAAUUAAAAUACAGCCCAAUAAAGAAAUAUAUUAAAAUUCAUGUCGUGUGCCGAAAAAGUGAGGCGGCACGCUUUUUAACUGUGGACUUGUCUUGUCUGUGUGGACUGGAACAGGGGACGAGUCUUCCUCUCAUUAAGCAAGCUGAUACAAAUGACAUGGCCCGCGCCGUUCUCAAGCACAGGUAGUGAGAAGUGUGAUAAUUAGAUUACAAACACCCUUUAAUUUCUUAAUAUUUUACUUAUUCGCAUAAUUUUAGUUAAAUCAUAGAGGGCUACUAUAUUGUGCUAAACAGUCAGAACCAGGAUUUGAAUUGUUUCUCCUGAUUGUUUUUAAACGCCUUGGAAUCGAAAAUAAUCAAAAAUACCGAGAUUCUUUUACUACUUCCACGAUACGUCAUACGUAAGCUCUACUAUAAUACCUAAAAAUAUCAAUUCUCUCUAUACUUCAGAUAACAUAGGUAGCUUACCUAAUUACUAUAAGGCAGAAUUUUGUAUAGCACCAACUUCUAGUGCUAUCAGAUAGCAUAAACACCGGACCUCUCUCUCGUCUCUCUCCCUCCGCGUCCCUCUCUCUCCGUCUCUUCCUGUCUCUCGUAUCCAAUCUCUCGUCGCUCUCCUCUCUAUAUAUAUAUAUUAGUAUUAUAUAUAUAUAUAUAUUAAUAUAUCAUAUAAUAUAUGACCCAAAUUUCGAAUUCUAAUGAUGAGCUUCACAUUUGUCGCACUCUAAGUUUAAUUUUAAAUUUAAAAAAAAUAAACGAUCGGUAGCAUAUUAUUUUUCUCUCUUAUUCAAAAAAAAAAAAAAUAUAGCUCGUGGUGAAUGACACCUAAACCCACAUUACACUAAUUUCACAUGAAGAAACCAACACGCAGGCAUUUUAGAAAAACAUUGUGAACCCAUACUUCUCAUCUAUCCUACUCCUAAGAUAAAGCACAGGCAAUACAAUAUCAAGGCUUAAAAUAAUAUUUGCCUCUUGAUUUAAAUCUAUGUGUCGCACCACGGUUAUGGAUUGGCUUAGCUACAAAUUUAUAGAUCCUCGCAUCAGAAAUUUCGUGAUCGACGUGUGAAGCACUCUCAGCAUUGAAGAUUAAAUACCAAACAAGUUGAAUUGCCACCAGCAAAAGAACACAAAAAAAAAAAGAAGAAAAUAAAAAGAAAAACUCAAUGUUCCGUCUUUGGCCGGNNNNNNNNNNNNNNNNNNNNNNNNNUUUUUUUUUUUUUUUUUUUUUUUUUUUUGGUAAACUUCAAAUAUCUAUCACCGGUAGUUUUGCAUUUUUUUUUCUUUUAAUACUAUGUAAUUUAAAAUAUAUCAAUUUGAUAUUCUAUGAUUUUAUUUUUUUUCUUUCUGUUUAGUUUUACCGUUAACAUUUCGUUAAAUUAUAUAUAAAAAACUUCAGAUACUAUGCCUAAAUUUAUUAAAUAUUUAUUCUAAUACCUUUUAGUUUUAAAUUUGUUACUGAUUUAACGAAAAGAAAGUAAAAAAAUAGUAUAAAGAAAAAAAUUAAACUAUAAAAUACUAAAUUAAUACACCUUAAAUUAUAGGAUACUAAAAUAAAAAAAGAAAAAACUUCAAAUACCCUCCUGUGGUUUCACAUUUUUUCACUUUGGUACCUUAUGAUUUAAAGUGUAUCAAGUUAGUACUCUGUGGUUUCAUUUUUGUAUCAAGUUAGUAUCUUGUGGUUUCAUUUUUUUCUUUUUAUUAUUCAUCUCGGGAUAUUUUUUUCAUUAAAUCAGUGACAAAGUUAAAAGUAAAAGAUACUAAAAUGAAUAUUUGAUAAAUCUAGAUAGAGUAUCUAAAUUUUUUUUUGUAUAUAAUUUAACGAAAUAUUAAACCACAGAAUACUAGAGUGAGAAGGUGCGAAACCACAGGGUACUAACCUGAUAUACUUUAAACUACAUGGUACUAAAGUGAGAAAGUGCAAAACUACAGAGUACUAAUUUGAUACACUUUAAAUCAAAUGAUACUAAAGUGAGAAAGUACGAAACCAAAAGGGGGUAAUUGAAGUUUUUCCCUAAAAAAAAUGAAACUAUAGGGAAGUUUUUUGUUGGGGCAAUUUCAUGGAUACCCCUCUCAAAGUCUAAAAUAUCAUAGAUGCCCCUAUAAAAUUUAAAAUAUUACCUAUACUCCUGUAAAUACAGAAAAUUAUCAUCAAUAUCCUUACUGUUAGUUACGUUAGCUUUACUUUACCUAUAGUUGAUUUUUUUAUUUCAACUCCCUCCUCAAAGUUUUACCGUAUUCAACUCCCCUAGAGGUAUGUAAAAAUGCAUUCUCUUGGAACUCCCAUUUAUUCAGUAAAAUUUUCAAUUGGGUAGAAAUAGGGAAAUUAUUGAUACCNNNNNNNNNNNNNNNNNNNNNNNNNNNNNNNNNNNNNNNNNNNNNNNNNNNNNNNNNNNNNNNNNNNNNNNNNNNNNNNNNNNNNNNNNNNNNNNNNNNNNNNNNNNNNNNNNNNNNNNNNNNNNNNNNNNNNNNNNNNNNNNNNNNNNNNNNNNNNNNNNNNNNNNNNNNNNNNNNNNNNNNNNNNNNNNNNNNNNNNNNNNNNNNNNNNNNNNNNNNNNNNNNNNNNNNNNNNNNNNNNNNNNNNNNNNNNNNNNNNNNNNNNNNNNNNNNNNNNNNNNNNNNNNNNNNNNNNNNNNNNNNNNNNNNNNNNNNNNNNNNNNNNNNNNNNNNNNNNNNNNNNNNNNNNNNNNNNNNNNNNNNNNNNNNNNNNNNNNNNNNNNNNNNNNNNNNNNNNNNNNNNNNNNNNNNNNNNNNNNNNNNNNNNNNNNNNNNAAAAAAUAAAAUCCCAUCGUAUGUAAAUUCAGUUAUGCGUUUGGUCUAUAUUUAAACUGAACUUGAACCGAAAUCCGAAACUAAAAACAAAACCAAAAUUAGAUAAAAACAUACUAUAUAUAAAAUAUAAUUUUUAUAUAUUUUUUAAUAAUUAAUAUAUAUUAAUGAUUUAAUUUAAUAUGUAUAUAUUAAAUACUCAAAUUUAGAUUUAUAAAAUUAUCUUGAAAUACCUAUUAGUAUUUUUAUUAUUAAGUAUUAAUAAGAGAUAAAGGGUAAAAUGGUAUUUUAAAAAUUUGACUCCGUUUCAAAUGGGACCUAACGGAUCUAAACUAAUAGAGGGCAUUUAUAAUAAUUUUUAACCUAUUGGAGGGUAUUUGUGAUAUUAUCAAUUUUAAAAAGGUAUUGAUGAAAUUAAUAGUUUCUAGAAGGGCAUCUAUGAAAUUUUUUCUUUUACAGAAAAGGCUCUUCGUCUAGAAUUUCAGUGGAUUGAGUGAAGAGAGAAAAAAAGAUUGAAAUUUUUUUUUUUUUUUUUGUUUGUUAUUUUAAUGAGAAAAAAUUCACCUUUGCACACCCACCACUAAAGGCACUAACCCCACUCCCAGUACUGCAUCAUCAUCAUCAAUCACCGUGUUUGUUUGCCCCGUGACCACUCCCUACACCCUACGUUUUUCCCACUCCCACCCCCUUUUCUUUUCCCAAUUUAACUUACACCACCACAGCGCGGCAUCACGCACGCGUACCCACAAAAGCUCCCAGAGAUAUCCACCGUAUCCAGCUUAGUUUGGCUUUAAAGUCUAACCAAUACUAGUACAGUAUUCCGUGCGAUGUAAGGAGCAGAUAAUUAAAGAAAAAAUGGAGAACAAUAAUAAAAAAAAAAAGAAAACAGUAAGUAAAGAAGCGACACUCAGGGAUGAGAUUUAUCUUGUCGAUAAAAAAAAUAUAACUCAAUAAUAAAUAGUUCGAAAAAUAUUAUUACGUGACAAAUUUAAAAAGAAUAAUAUAUAAAUAUAGAUAGAUAGAUGUAGACUAUGCUUUAUAUAUUUUUUAACUGAAUUUAUUUUUUUAAAAUAAAAAAGUAAUUUUUUCAAAAUAAUAAAAAUGAUAACGAUAACCGUGUACACAUAGUAUUAUUUUGUAAUCAAAAGGAAAGAAAGAAUACUUCAGGUAAAUUCUUUUGUUAUUAAAUAAUAUGUAUACUACUCUUUUAUAUAUAUAUAUAUAUAAUAUUAAGCUAGUGCAUAUGAAUUAUUCAUAGAUCAAAUCUUUCUUGCCUAUAAUUGAAUUAUUAAAAGCCAUAUUUGGAAUGCAAUAACUUAAGUUAGGAUGAUCAAAUUUAUACUAUAUAUAUAUGUUAAGAAUAACACUCUACACGAAUCUCAAAAUAGAAUUAAAAGCUAUCCAAUGCAUAGUUUUGAAUGUCCAAUGGAGACAAAUCUCACCAAAUUAUUCUUUUCCUUUUCUUUUAACUUUCCAAAAGUUGGGUACAUAUUUUGGUAAGCUAAAUAUGUGCAUUCAUUCACCAUCUCCAAACUUCCCAAACAGUAACACUUGAAACGCACUACAUCUCCCCCCUAAACAAGCGCAAAUCCCUCAUGAAACCUAUCAACAAUUUUUUUUAAAAAUUUUUUUUUAAUUUUUUAUAUAUAUCCAAAAGAGCCCAAUAUAAAAUUAAAUAAGAAACUCACAUUUAUUUUAUCAUAUUAUAUAGUCUAAAACACAGAAAUUUUUUUUAUAAAUAUUUAUUUUUUUAUUUUUUCUUUCUGAUUUUAAAAAAAUUUAUGUUUUAUUUCUUAAAAUUUUAAAAAUAUUUUCAGAGGAGUACGACGUUAAUGAAGAGAAUAAAAUAACUAAAUUAUUAUUAUUUUUUCUGUAAAUAAAUUAUAAAAAACGAAGGACUCAUAAACCUCCUCCCCUUAAUAAAUAAAAGUGUCAAACCCCAAAAUAUAGUACACACCAUCCUCCAACCCCCAUUAUUCAUCAUCAUCAUCUUCAUCAUCAUCAUCCAUGGCCCUCCUCCUCCUCCUCCUCUUCACCAACAUCUUCACCAUCUCCUCCUCCUCCUCCUCCUCCUCUCACCAUCACCAUCACCACCAAACCCUACCACCAUCUCCUCCAUCCUCACCCACACCUUCCACCUCCGCUUCCACCUCCCCCUCCCUCCAAAUCCUCCUCGCAUGCAACGCCACCCGUUUCCCCUCCAUCUGCGUCUCCUCCCUCUCCUCCUCCUCCUCCUCCUCCUCCACCGCUCCCGACAUCAUCUCCGCCGCCGUCUCCGCCGCCGCCGCCGCCCUCCCCGCCGCCGUCUCCGCCGCCAAAGACAUCCUCGCCGCCUCCGCCGCCUCCGUCAACCGCUCCUCCGCCGCCCGGAACUGCCUCGAGCUCCUCUCCCUCUCCUCCCGCCGCCUCUCCUCCGUCUCGCUCCCGCCGUCGUCGUUGCCGGCGGCGCGGGCGAUGGCGUCGGCGGCGCUGCUGUACCAGUACGACUGCUGGUCGGCCUACAAGUACGUGAACGACAGCCGGCAGGUGGACGCCGCCAUGGCCUUCCUCGCCGACAACCUCACCGCCCUCACCAGCAACGCCGCCUCCAUGCUCGCCGCCCUCCACCGCUUCGGCCCCGACCUCUCCCGCUGGGCCCCGCCCCAGACCGAGCGCGACGGGUACUUACAUUCCCGUCUUCUCAAAAUUCGAAACUUUAGUUGCUUCACAUUUCUAGCUUUACUCGUAUUUAGAAAAAAAAAAAAAAAGUUAAUUUUACAUAGAUCUAUGCAAAUACAUAAUGAAUAGUAAAUAUAUUUCUGCCUCGUUUGGUUAGGGGUUAAGGGGUGAAAUAAUCCCUUAACCUUCAUUUUAUUUUCAAACACUUCUAAAAAUAUUAGUGGGGUUAGCUAAUCCCACCUCAAAUGGGUUAUUUCGGAUUAGCUAACCCCACCUAACCUCAUCAAAUCCCAACCAAAUACUAUUUUCUAUUCAUAAUAAUUCACUAUCCUUCUUAUCCCACCUACUCCAACCAAACACUAUUUUUCACUAUCCUGAACUAACUCCAACCCCCAACCAAAUACGAAAAUAUUAUAAUCCCACCUUAACCCUAAACUUAACUCUAUUCCUGAAAUAACUAGUUUUUCCUUAAUCCCGAACCAAACGGUAGCAUAAAGUUUAACUUUCGUUUAUUAUUUCUUUAAAAAUUUUAAUUUUUAAAUAUGUCUGUGUCGUUAGAAUUUGAAUUUGAUAGAAAAAUUUAAUUAAUUAUAGAUUAAGUACUUAAUUUUAUUUAAUUUUUUUAUAUUUUUAAUCGUUUUAUAUUAUACUGUUAUGAUUUUUAGAGGAAUAUAUUUGUAAUGAUAAAAUUGAAAAUAUAAAUAAUUCUUUAACGGUAAUAAAUUAUAAGAACAUAUUUAAAAAUAUUAUAACUUUUGUAAAGAUAAUAUAAAGUUAAAUUUUAUGAAAAUAUAUUUAUUAUUUAUUAUGUUUGCGGGAAACUGAGAUAAAAUUAAUUUUAAAAAAUUAAAUAAAACGAAUUGUUGGCUAUUUUUUAUUUAAAAUUAAAAAAAAUAAUUGUUUUACAGAAUUUGCUUAAACAAUCGGUCAUUUUGAGCGGACUGUCCAACCUUUGAAAUUUUAAAUUCUUUUUUUUUUAACGGAUUUUUCAGUUUGUUUGAUUUAAACCGGUCAAAAAUAUUUUGACUUCAAAAUAUGAACGCGACGUUUAUUAUUUUUAUAAGUUUAGCUAGUAUACUUUAUUGAAUUUUUGUAAUCAUAAAUUUAUUAAAGUAAAAAAUUUGUUUAACUUUUAAAAUUAAAAUAUCAUUAAUUGACUCAAAUUAAAUAAAUUUAAAAAUUAAAUAAUAAAAUUAAAAUUUUAGAAAGUUGAGUAGCAAAUUGAAAAUAAUCAAUACUUCAAAUAAAUUCUAUAUAUUUCUAUCUAGCCCAGUGGAUCUUGGUCCAAACCGACUGUGACAUGUUUUGUAUUAAGAUAAAUUCCGAACUAUCUCUUACUAAAUUCGAAUAUUUGGACAACAUAGUGUUAGAAUUAAUCUUUAAAUUUUCUUUAUUUAAAGACAUUUUAAAUUUAUUUUCAUUAUCCAUCAUUUAAUGGAAUGGAAUAUUUAAUAUUUAUCGUGCAUGUGAACAGAAGUUAAGUUUUAAUUAAUUUUUAUUAUUUUCUUGGUAAUAAAAGUUGUUGUACAGAGAUAAUUAAUUAUGAUUUUACCACUUUACUUUCAUUUGGUGUCUUUAAAAUACUUUUACAUGAACCCCGUGCAUUCAUAUACUCAGUACGAGAUGCUUCAAUAAUUGAUAGAGCUGUGGUCCACAGAUGUACGAAUGUAUUGAAUUAAUGUAGUUAGUAACUUUUGACCAUCUAAAUCAAAUAAUUUACAAUAUUAGAUAGCAAAAUUAGAUUUUUUUUUUCCCCAAAGGGAUAUAUAGUAAUUUCUAAAUAAUCCUAUAUUUCAGUGCGGUCCAGAAGUGUGUUUUUAUAUUUUUAUAUUCAACAGGUACUGGCCUGGCGCAACUCACCAAUUCCGAGUCAACUCGAUCCAAGGAGGGGUGCCGACCGGGUUGAAGCCGAAUGUCACGGUUUGCAAGGAAGGGGGUUGCGAGUUCGAUUCGGUUCAGAAGGCAAUUCAGGCCGCGCCGGACUUCGGGGCCGGGCGGUUCGUGGUGUACGCGAAGGAGGGGGUGUACGAGGAGACGGUGCGGGUGCCCUUCGAGAAGACGAAGGUCGUGCUCGUCGGGGACGGGAUGGGCAAGACCGUCAUUACGGGAUCGCUCAACGUCGGCACCCCCGGCAUCUGGACCUACAACACCGCCACCGUCGGUGAGCUUCGUUUCUGCUGCUUCUGCCUUUAUUUUCAGCUGCAGUUAUAUUUCACAAAUUGUUCAAUAAUUAAAAAGAUUAAUUUCAUAUAAAUUCUUACAAAUAUAAUAAAUUACAAAUAUAUUUAUAUAAAGUUUAAUUUUUAUAUAUUAUUUCUACAAAAAUUCUGAUGUUUUUAAAUGUGUUUCUAUUCAAAAUUAGUUAAUUUUAAAUAAUAUAUUUAAUCUUAGUUAGUUAAUAAGAUGAAUUGAUAUUUUUACAACCUCUUUAAUUAAUGAUUGGGAUUUUUGGAAGAAUAUGUUUGUGAUGAUAAAAAAGUUAUUUUACUUAUAAAAUAAAUAAUAUUUUAGCGGUAACAAACUGUAGGAAUAUAUUUGAAAAAUUAAAAUUUUUACAGAAACAAUAUAUAAAAGUUGAACUUUAUAGCCCUUGUUUGGUUGGGGGUUAAGGGGUGGUGUUAGCUAACCCCCAUUUUAUCUCCAAACACCCUAAAAAAUAGGUGGGGUUAACUAACCCCACCUCAAAUAAAUUAUUCCGGGUUAGCUAAUCCCACCUAACCCCACCAAACUCCAACCAAAUACUAUUUUCUAUUCAUAAUAACCCACUAUCUUUCUUAUCACACCUACUCCAACCAAUCAUUAUCAUUCUUUAUCAAUCAUUAUCUUUUUAUCCCACCUACUCCAACCAAACACUAUUUUUCAUUAUUCUAGACUAAUUUCAACCCCAAAUCAAACACAAAAAAAUUUUAACCCCACUUUAACCUGAACUUAACCCUAUUCCUGAAAUAGCUAUUUUUUUUUUAACCCCGAACUAAACGGAAGCUAUAGAAAUAUAUUUAUAAUUUACUAUAUUUUUAGGACCGCAUAUAAAAUUAACCCUAAUUAGAAAGUUUAAAUUUCGACCCCAACCAGAAAGUACAAAUAAGAAGCUGCCAAAUAUAAUUGGGUACGUGGCGGGCAUCUAUUUGCUACUUUAUUUUUUGCAUUUUUACUAGCAAAUAAGAAGCUGCCACGUGUCUACCAAUACUGUUUGAUGUAUGCGUGUAACCACUUCUAGUUGUUGGGAUUCGAUAAAUCCGACUUUGUUGCUUGUCGGAUUCUGACUCGAUCAGAUACUUAGAUUCGGGCCGGAUUCAAAUUUAGUGCCCAAUAAAAAUUUACAGCCUCGACCCCUAAUUUUAAAAUAGGGAAAACUUCAAAAACCCUCCUGUGGUUUCAUUGUUUCUCACUUUAGUACCAUGUGGUUUAGGAGGCGUUUGGAUUGACGUAUUUGUAGAUUCAACGUAAGUCAAGUGUAGUGGUGUUUGAGUUUUUCUGAAGUGUGAUUAUUUUUUUGUUGUUUGUUUUGACGUAACUCAUACCGCCUGAAAGUUAAAUUCAAUCACUUCUGUUGUUUGUUUUGAUGUAACUUGGUGCUGGUAAAAUUAGUUUUUUGAGAUCCGUUGUUUGUUUUGAUGUAAGUAAGUGGAUCUCAUUAUCUCCUAAAUAUAGUAGUAAAUUUACCAUUAUAAAAUUUAAUCUAUUAUAUAAUUAAUUUUUUUAUUAUUAUUUAAAGAUAAUUUUAAUUUAUUAUAAAUAAGCUAAUUCUAACCCAUUAUAAAGGAAGUAGAAUUUAGGUUUUACUGUUUAAUAAAUAUUUUAGAGGAGGUUGAGUGUAGUGAAAAUCGAGUUCGGCACUUUAGAGGAGAAAGUCGAGAGUAGGUGAAGUGGAGCUCUAACGUAACUUGAGUUAUAUUAUAUUUUUCACUUAUAUCAAAACAAAUAACAGAAGUGAUAGAACUUGAGUUCCAUCACUCCACUUACACCAAAACAAACGGGCCCUUAAAGUGUAUCAAUUUGCCCUUCUGUGGUUUUGUUUUUAUCUUUUCGGUAGUUUUUUCAUUAAUAUUUCAUUAAAUUAUAUACAAAAAACUUCAGAUACCCAUUUAGAUUUAUCAAAUAUUCAUUUUAGUACCCUUUAAUUUUAACUUUAUCACUGAUUUAAGAAAAAAAAAUAAUAAAAUUGAUAAGAAAAAGAGAAAAAAGAAAUCACAAGAGGGCAAAUUGAUACAGUUUAAACCACAGGGGGGCAAAGUGAGAAACUACAAAACCGCAGGGAGGGUUUUUGAAGUUUUUCCUUCAAAAUAUAUUACUGAAGUUUGAAUUUCUGAUCUUAAAAAUAAUAAUAGUUUAAAUAAUAAUAUUUAAAAAUAAUAUUAUAAAAAAUUUGUACUAAUGGGAAUAAAUGAUGUUGUUUAUAAAUUAUAAAUGCCGUGAAAGGAAAAAAUUAAUAAAUUGAAGAGGUGGUGAAAAUGGUGAAUAUUUU
rnacentral:lncRNA from 1 species